rnacentral:lncRNA from 1 species
UACCUUUGAGUUUGGUUGGAUAUUGCUUUUCCUCUAGUUAAUAAUACUAGUUUGGUUCCUCUAGUUAACAUCUGUACCAAAAAAAAAAAUAUUUGUUUAACAUUUAAAUUAUUUUAAAAUAAAUUAAUAUAAAAAUAUUACAUGACAUUGAUUGAUUGGAUGAUGAGUAUAUAUCUAUUAAAAAUUGUAUAGGUGAUAGAGUGUUGAGUAGUUGAGAAUUAAUGAAGUAACGAUAUCAUAAGUAUAAAAGGCAAAAGGAUAAAAAUUGCGAGUAAAAUAAUAGUUUGGUUUAUUGUGUGUCAAUCAAAAUUUACACGUGAACUUAUAGAUAAGGUGACAUAACAUGUAAUUCUAUGUCAUGUUAAAAUUGAGAUUUUGCUUUAGAUCGAAAGAGAUCAGCAAAAUCGACAAUCGUUAAAUCGCAAUUAAAAUUGAUGGAUUUUAUCAAAAAUAUAAUAUUAAAUAUAUUUUAUAAAUGGUAUAUAGUGAUAAAUGACUUAGAUUAUAAUAAAUUGUAAGACCGCAAUCAAAAUCGUUGAAUUUUUCUUAUUUUAGAAUUAUACUAUGGGUUUGAGUCGUUAAAGAUGAAAAAAGUCACAAAAUCUUAAAUUUUAAGAUUUAAGUCGGUAUUUUAACAAGUCUUAACAUCAUGGCUUGCAAAUUCAACAUUGAUUGUUGUUAGAGUAAAUUACACUCCCCUCCCCUCAAAGAUGCUUGAAUUACAUUCCCCUCCCCUCUUAAGUUAAAAUAUACAAUCCCCUCCCCUCUUAUUCAAAACAUAUUAGAGAAAAUUUCACUCCCCUCCCCUAAGAGAAGCUUGAAUUACAUCCCCCUCCCCUCUUAUGUUAAAAUCUACACUUUACCCCCUCAAUAUUCUUUUUUAUUAUUUCUAAUAAUCUAGCAAAAAAUAAUAAUUUAACACACUUAAAAAAAUAGUAUUGCGAGUCUGUUUUAAUAUAAUAAAAAGUUGAAUACAUAUUUUUCGCUAUUUUUUAUUCACAAUUUCAUUAACAUGUAGUUUUAAACCCUAUUAUAAAAUAUUAAACAACCCAAAACAAAAUUAAAAUAUGUGAAAAAUUACUAAAAUCAUUAAGGCAUGAUUAUUUAGAAGUUAAUUUUAUACUCAGAUUUAUAAAAUCAAUAGCAAUAUAUUUAAAUUUAAUUAUCAUUGACAUUUAAACUAUAAAGAAAUGAAUUAAUUUUUCUUAAAUGGUGAUUCAAAAUUAAUAUAUAUUAUAAGAAUAUUUAAUUAUGUUCAAAUAGAUUAAAGUGUAGUGCAUAUUUAAUUAUUAAGGGAAUGGUUUGUAAUUCAAGCAUCUUAUAAGGGAGGGGAGUAUAAAUUUUAACAUUAGAAAAAAAUAUUGAGGGAGUAAAAUGUAUAUUUUAACUUAAGAGGGGAGGGGAGUGUAAUUCAAGCAUCUUUGAGGGGAGGGGAGUGUAAUUUUUUAUUGUUUUGUAUUGAUCCACAUGUUUAUUUAGAUGUAUCAUUUUUCCUAACAAAUCCAAAUGUUUAUAUUCAAGAUCAAAGCUAAUGUAUUAAAAACAAAAAAUAUCAAUUAUUGCUGGUCCUACCACGGUUUAAUGUCAAUAACUUAGUUUAGAAAUCACACUUGAAACCCAUUCAAUGUUAUCCACCACUAUAGUCCUUGUAUGAAAAUGCAUUUUCACAUCUACAUUUUCCCAUGGUAUGAAUGGGGAGACUUGGAGAUCAUCAUCAAGCAUUGACUCAAACACAAGGCUUGCACUGUUGGAGAAAAAUGCUAUUAUUAUCCUAAAUUAUUGUUAGUAAUUAUUCAUAUUACGCAGAUUGAUAUCCAAUCCCUCAACUUCAUUCACACACACACACAUAUAUAUAUAUAUGCACCAUGAAGUACACACCUCUCUAAGUGUGUCACGGUGUCCGACACCAGUGCCGGAGCCAGAAAAAAAUGUUUGGGUGGGCCGCUAAAAUAAACUAUAAACAAUAAUAUGUAAACAUAAAAUUAAAGUACUAAUAAGCAUUAAGCUUGAAGUUGAAAUUGCAAAGUUUGACUAAAAAGCUCGGGUGAAUGCUUUAAAAAAACAAAUUACAUAUUACUAAUGCUAUAAAUUAUGAUUUUUUUAUUUAUUUUAUAAUACAACUCUUAAUUGGAGGAAUUUUUUACAAAACAAUAUAAAAGAGAUUUGAAACCACCAAAAAUUAAAAGGUCUGUAAACCUCCGUUAACUAGCCAAGUAUAAGCAUAAAAAAAAAAAUCACAUAUGUCACUUUUGGAACCACCGAAAAUCUAAACGGUUGAAAAAUUGUUUAAAAUCUCGCAAAGCUGACUUAUGAUCGUCGAUUUUUUACUUUUUCCGGGUGGGCUGUGGCCUACCCCGGCCCUUAAAGGGCUCCGCCUCUAUCCGACACACGUCGAUAUUUGACAUUCAUAUGACACUCAUAUACAACACAUGUUGAACCAACUCAGUCUAGUGUCCCAAAAAUUAAUCAUUAUUUUAUUUUCUUCGACACACCUUGAACAUAUUUCUAAGGGUAUCUACAAGAUUAAAGAUGUGUGAAAUCAAUAUUGAUCAAUGAGGUGGUUAAAGAAAUUAAUAUUUUUAACAAAAUUUUAAUAUUUUUUGUUAAAGAAAUACAUUGCUCAAUUUACAUGUAUAUAUUUUGAUUCUCGCUUUAGCUAUUUUAUAAAUAAUACUAAUAUAUGAUUUGAUUAUAAGAAAUUAAUAAAUAUAUAUGUUGCGAUGCCAAAGUCUUAUGUUUUUUAAUUUUUACAUUGACGAUAUUAAUAUAUCCGUGUCAAUGUCAUGUGUCAAGUGUUCAUGUCGGAAUACAUGUCAUAAAGAGUGUGUGUAUAUAUAAUUCAAGAUCUUUAUUCAUAUAAGAUUUGCCGCGUUGUAGUUUUAGUUACUUCUUAGUUAAGUUUACUUGUUUGACUCAUAAGUUUAUUAUUAGUUGUUGAGGUAUGAAUUAUAUGUUAGUAUAUCAACUGUGAGUAAGAGUUCCAUAUUAAAAAGUGUAUGAUGAACGUAUUAUAAUUGAGAUGAUCUCUAAUUUUAAUGUCUUCAAAUUUUGGGUUAAAGUAUGUUGUCAACCACACAUGUAUCGAAAAUUUGCACUCCAAUUCUAUGAUAAAUGCUCAUCUUUCAUAAUCGACCAAUAUUCAUUCAUGUUAACUGUAUAUGUCAUCAUUCACAUUAUAAAUUUUCACUCAACUACUCCUUAGCUUGCCAGCGAACAUCUCUUCCAUGUCAGAAACCCAUCAAUAGCAGUUACACACCUAUAGAUAAGAUCCAUUAACCAAUAUCCAUGACAUUCAUACAUACUUAGUAAUUAAGAUUUAAGACCAUUGCAUUAUAGCAAUAGACAUAAGUCAGCAAUUCAAAUAAAGGUUAUAACCACAUUAUUGUACGUAAGUAACAUAACUAAGUGCAUGCUUGAUAUGCAGUGAAAUUGAAAGCAGACAAGAAAAUGCAGCAAUGAUAGGUUGACACUCUUAGGGUGUGUUUGGUUGUGGAGAGAGAGAAAGUGAUAAGAGAGAAGUAGGUGAGAGAGUUUGAGAAGAGAGAAAGAUGUGAGAAAUAAAGAUAGUGUUUGGUAUAAAAGAAAGAGAUAAGAAAUUGAGAAGAGAGAAGUGUUGAUUAUUUUUAAAAGUACAAAAAUACCCCUUAAAAUAAAAAUCUUUUCCUAAAACUACUCUAUUUUAUAUUUAAUUAAAUUUAUGAAUUGAUUAGUUUAAUUAGUUAUCUGGGUUAUUUUACUAAUAAUAAUAACAAGGUAAGUUAAUUAAUUUAAUUAUUAUUUAAAUAAGCCUAUUGUGAAAAAGAAAGAAAGAAUCACGUGACAACAUUGCAUAAAAGACAAAAAAAAUGUGUUGUUCUCUUAAAUUAAAGGGCAUAAAAGACAAAAUUAAAGCAACAAAAGAGUAACUUCUCUUCCGUUUCUUCGCUAAUUAGGGGAGAACAAAAAAUGCAUGGGACCCACCAAUUUUGUCCCUCUUCUCUCUUUCUCACCUUUGUCAAACUAGAGAAAUGCCACACUUCUCUCCUCUUUCUCUCCUUAGUCUCUCUCUUCUACAUUUCUCCACUACUAAAGAGAGUUUUAAUGUAUACACUCUUUUGCAUUACUUUAAAAAAAUUAAAGUUAACCAAAUAUAUAGUUUAUGUGACCACGUUUUUUUAGUUACGUGGCCACUAUUUUUAUGACAUACAUGCUCAUAAUAUAUUACUCAUGUUUAAUUAAACUAAAUAGAUCUUUUUUGGGACUAAAUAGAUCUUAUAUCUUAUAUCAUAAGCAAACACUUGGAUUUUUCCACUGUAGGGCCCACAUGGUACUUAAGCAAUUGCCAAGUCAAAAUAUAUAUGUUUACUUAAACUAAAUAAAUCUUAUCUCUUACCACUAUCGGGCCCACAUGGUACUUAACGCAAUUGCCAAGUCUUUGAUGCAUCCCCUCAAAAACAAUCUUGAUGCAUUAAAUGGAUGCUUGUAUUUUUUCCUUUUAUAGAAAAACAAAGUCUUAAAUUAAUUGGCACCACGCAGAAAGUUUGGAAAGCUCUUGACACACAAUCAUUUUGGGUUCUUGACGUUUGGUAGAAUAGGAGUGCAUGACAUAGCAACUGUGAAAUCAUUGGUAUAACUUUUAGGUGGCCAGAUAAUAUAAAAAACUAAACUUGAUCAUAAGCAAACACUUUCACAAUAAUUUUUACUUCCAUAAAAAAAGGUUUGAACAGCCUUUGAAUCAAUGACUUCUAAGAUGUAAAUCGAUGCCUAUUAUUCGUUGAACUUUGAAGGAACCAACGGGUAGCACUUGGAUGACAUAGAGUUGGGUGACAUUGACCAAUCACAAUGUCAUAAUGCUUGUGUUUCUCUCUCUUUCACAAGUAUUGUGACAUUAUAAUUGACUAAUGUCACUAAUGUCAUCCAACUCUAUAUCACCCAAAUACUAUCCUGAAACCAACCUUGUGAGUGAAGCUGAGUGAAAAAAAUAUUAAACUUUAUGAUAAGCAAACACACGUUCAAAAUAUAUUUUUUACCUCUCCUUCCAAUUUAUUUACUUUUUUUUACUUUAUCAUAUGGAGCUUUUGUUAAGUACAAGGUGGGUCCUAUAUAUUAUUCGAGUGAUGGGAGUGGUGUAAAAUUGGUCUUCUAUCAACUAGAUCACUCCCAUACAAACUGACGAAAAUAUCUCUAACGUAACUUAAAUCAAUCUGAAAGGGAGCGUGAGUUAACUCACACUGGGCUUGCGUUCAGGACCAGAACAUCAUAAACAUCUUUUUCAAUAAUUUUCUUCAUUCCUUCAUUCAUACAUACAUCCAUUUCUGUCAAAAAUACAUGUUUUCAUCAUUCAUUUAAUGAUUCAUUCAUUCACUCAUAAUUUAAAUAAAAAAAAUAAACGAAAAUUAACAAAAAUGUCAUAAAAAAACGCAAACGCGCAAAUGUAAAUAUAUAUUGCAUCCAUAUCUACCAAAGUGUAAAAAAUACAUCUAAAUAUACACAAAUGUUAGGAAAACACUAUAUAUAAAAAAAAAAUCUACUCCUAUGGACUAUGGCUCCUAGUCCUCCGCGGAACCGGCUCCUCCUGAAGCAUGCGAUACUCCGACCAGAUUCCCUCCAUAAUUUCAUCAUUAAAAAUGCUAAAAACAAACAUAUUUUCAUGUGUUAAAUAUGUCUUUAGUCCUUACAUUUUGCGCCCCUUUGAAGAAUAGUUCCUACAUUUCAUUAAAUGUUUUUAAAAUCCUCACAUUUUCUCUCUGUUAUCAAAAUUAGUCCUUGCUGUUAAUUCUCCAACGGAAUGCUGAUGUGGCAGUUAGUGGGUCCCAAUUAUUUUAAGGUUAAAUAUGUUUUUUGUCUGUACAUUUUGCGUGACUUUGAAAAUUAGUUUUUACAUUUCAAUAAAUGUUUUUAAAAUCCCUAAAAUAAUAAGGACUAUUCUUCAAAGUCACGCAAAAUGUAGGGACCAAAAACAUAAUUAACCUUAAAAUAAUUGGGACCCAGUAACUACCACAUCAACAUUCUAUUAGAGAAUCAACAACAAGGACUAAUUUUGAUAACGGAGAUAAAAUGUGAGGAUUUUAAAAACAUUUAAUGAAAUGUAAGGACUAUUCUUCAAAGUCACGCAAAAUGUAGGGACGAAAAACAUAAUUAUCCCUAAAAUAAUUGGGACCCAUUAACUGCCACAUCAGCAUUCCGUUAGAGAAUUAACAAUAGGGACUAAUUUUGAUAACGGAAAUAAAAUGUGAGGAUUUUAAAAACAUUUAAUGAAAUGUAAGGACUAUUCUUCAAAGGGAAGCAAAAUGUAAGCACUAAAAACACAUUUAACCCUAUUUUGAUUGAGACAUUUUAUCAAACACCUAGAGUUCAACAUAAUUUCUAACAAUUCCUAACUCUAACCUAACUCUAACGUACCAUAUUUCAAUCAAACCUACUCUAAUCAACUUCUAAAAAACAAUUUAUAACUUAAUUUAUCAUUAACAAUAAAAAUAUCAAACAUGCAAAUCAACUCUAAAACUUAAAAUUUCACAAUUUCAUCCAAAAAAAAAAAAACUAACAUUUAAACCCAAAAAACCCAAUGCAAAAGGUUAGAUAGCACUUGUGAUGGAAGUAGAAUUUGAUAUUGAUUUGAUUGAGUUCGGUGAAAAUCGCACAAAGUGGGAGAAAUUUCAUAAAAAAUGAGUUUGAAACACAAUGGUUAUAUUUUUGUCUGUUGUCGUUCUAUAAUAACACGCAAUGUGAGUUAAGUCACGCUGGGUUACAACGUAUGUGAGUUAAUUCAUGUUGAAUGUACCGGGCGUGACUUAUGUCACGAACGUGGGGGUACUUUCGUCCAUUCAGUUGGGAGCGAGUAUUUAUUGAUGGGAGAAGAGCAAUUUUCUAAAAACUUUGGGUGUGGUGGAAGAUUCUAAGUGAGGGUUGUAUGUUCUGUUAUGUUAAAAUAACGGAUAACUGAUAAGUUUGCUGAUAGCUGAUAGUUUAUAGCUGAUAGAUGUUGGUUGAUGGCUGAUAACUUAUAGUUUAUAGUUAAUGACUAUUGACUGAUGUUGAUAAGCUAGUUAAAGUGUGCUAAAAUUAACGGUUCAAUUAACUGAUAAAUAUAAAUUGACAUAAAAUGAAUUUUUUUUAUUCAUAAUACUUUUUUGAGAGGACCAAAGCCCAAUUUAAUUGAAAAAUUUAAUAAUUAGAAUUUAUAAAAAAAAAAAUCUGAAAAUAAAAUGUUUACUAGACUUUCCACCCGUGCUGCCGCACGGGUCAUAUACAUUGUAGAUAUAGUAGACAAAAACAAAUCUCAAUGCAUAUCAAAGAGAAUGAAAUAUGUGGUCCCAAAUAUAUGCAGAUGUUGGAAUUCGAACCUCAGACACCACGCUUAUUCACCAAAAAAAUAUUAAUUUUUAUCAAUCGUGUGUUACUUCAUUCCUUUGUUAAAAUUAUAUGUCAAUAUUAUAUUAUUGGUAUGUUACUUCAUAUUUUUCUUUUUUUUUUUGAAAAAAUGUUACUUCAUUCUUUUGUAAAAAUUAUAUGUUAAUGUUAUAUUAUGUACCUAAAAAUAGUUCAUUCUUAACCUCAACAUGUAAAAUGUUUUAUUUAAAUAAUUUUCCUUUUAUCGAAUAUUUGGCCUUUACCGUAAAUGAUACCCUUUAACUGUUUGUUGAAAUGUUUCUUCCACCUGUUUAUAUAGAUUGCAAAAUUCAGGUGCAUUUUGUGGUAAAUAUUUAACAAAGAGAGUUCAAUUCUAAUUUGGAUGAAAAGUGUAAUAUUAACAAAAAAAAAUGUUGCUAUAAUCUUUCAAAACCCUUUUAUUCCAAUAGGGCGAUUUGUUUUGUUGAAGAAAUAGGGCGAUUUGUGUUUUGAAGAAAUAGGGGAAAUAAAGCGAUGCCGAUUUGCUUUGUUCAUGAAAAUAGGAGAUUAGGUGUGAGCAUUAGCGUUGUUCAUGAAAAUAGAAGAUUAGGUGUGAGCAUUAGGGUUAAAACGGUAAAAUUAUGCAACAGGGUUUAGGUUAAAAUUAGGGCUCAUGAAAAUAUGAGAUUAGGUGUGAGCAUUAGGGUUGUUCAUGAAAAUAUAAGAUUAGGUGUGAGCAUUAGGGUUAAAACGGUAAAAUUAUGCAACAGGGUUUAGGUUAAAAUUAGGGCGCAUGAAAAUAUGAGAUUAGGUGUGAGCAUUAGGGUUGUUCAUGAAAAUAUAAGAUUAGGUGUGAGCAUUAGGGUUAAAACGGUAAAAUUAUGAAAUAUGAUUUAGGUUAAAAUUAGGGCUUACGGGUUACCUUUAAUAUAUAAGAAGAUUAGGUGAGAGCAAUAGGAUUGUUCAUGAAAAUAGGAGAUUAGGUGUGAACAUUAGAGUUAAAACAGUAAAAUUAUGCAAUAGAGUUUAGGUUAAAAUUAGGGCUUACUUGUUAACUUUAAUAUAUAACUUUAAUAUAUAAGAAGAUAAGCCCUUAACUUUGCCAAAUCCCCAAAUUGAUUCAACCAAAUUCUUCCUCCCCAAAUUGAAUCAUCAUGCAUCAUUCCUUCAUUAUAUGUCAAUUAACCGGUUGGUAUGAAGUAGAAAAUCGAGCGAUGUUGCAUUAUUUCAUUUACCGAUACAUGCUUAAGCAAAGACCAAGAAAAGAGAACAUGGCAAUAGAGAUGGAAUGGUUCAUUACCUUUUUAGAUUGAAGAAUGGAUUGGGGAGUUACGAUUUUUUUAAAGAGAAAACUAGUUACAAACCCGUGCUUCGCACGGGUUCAAUAACGUUUUUGAUAAAAAAAAAUCGAAAGAAGAUAUGUUAAAACGACGGAACAUUAUGAUUCAUCAUAAAAUAUGUAUGGACUGGUUCCAAAGCAUUAUAAAGAUCUGCUGUAGAAAAAGGGCAUGUUCUAUUUUGUUCAAAAGAUUAUGAAAACAACAUUAUAAUUAACAUGAUACUAAUUUGAACCAAUGAAGAAACCAACAAUGUGCAGAUUAACGUUACAUAAUAGUUAGGUUUAUAAAAGAGACUCCAAGUGUCAAAGACUAACUAAAAAGAGAUUUUUGCCAAUAUUUACUUCAGACAAAAUGAAAAGAACAAAUGACAUCCCAAAGUCAAAAUAGUUUACGAUUACAGACCAAAGCGAUACGUCAAAAUAGUAGAAGUUCAAAUAGUUCAGCAGCAAAUAUCUACUUUAGAACAACUCGAACGUGCAAGUUCUUCGGUGACUUUUCGAGACCAAAUAUGAGCUUACCACCUUCUAUCAUCACACGUUCUCUGCAGAAAUUGAUCCAUAGCCCACCCAAGUAUUUUUCAUAGCUUGCUCUUUCGGCGGUAAUGAGGCGACACUUAUACUUUCUCUGUAUGCGAAUAUAGUUACAUAUAAUUUAUAAAAUAAAGGUAGCUUAACUGAUUUAAGCUAAAGAAAAUGUAUCAUGACUUCUAAUUUAUCUUCCUAUAAAGUCUAGAUAAAUACAUGUAUGUGCAUUAUAUGAACCCCGUUGACCAAUUAACAUUGUUGAAACAAAUGGAAAUUAAGCAUCACUCCCGCAUGUGCAUCUAUAGCUAGCACCAUUUGACAUUGAUGUCUUCGAACAUUUGGUGCAACUCUUAUAAUACCAUCCAAACUGGUUAGGAUUGAAUUUAGUUGUUUUCCAAAUAGUGAUGAAGUAUGUAUCCUAACCCAAAUUAUGCACAUGAAAUAAAGAAUAAUGCAAUAUGUAUUUUUAACUUGUGCAUCAAAAAACUCAAAGCAUGUUCGUGCAUAAAAAAAGCAGACCAUGACUAAGUUUAUAAAUUCAGUAAUUGGCCUAACCUGAGGCAGAUUGAAAAAAUCGUUGUACAAAGUACGUUGAGAAGAAGCCGAACUCUAACUUAAGUUAUGACUGAUACUUUGACUCUGAGCUUGAGAAGUGUUAAGGUCACGACAACAAUUCAAGAAACAUGGUCAAAAAACAAUCAAAUCAAAUUGUGAAAUAAUAAGUUACUCUAAUACUAUAUUUUGAAAUCAUAAUGCAAACUUACUAAGUCUUAAACUUCUCAACAACCGGAUAAUGUAGGUUGAUGAGCAGCCUCGAACCUGACCAAUUGUUACAUAUAUUUGGGUUGCCAAUGACUACAAAAUGGAAGAACUCAAGGUAAAUAGAUGGUAAAUGAUCAAGCUACAGAGUAUUUUUCCCAUAGUGUUACAUCAACUAUAUUCCCACUGCAUAAGGAAAGACAUCUUUCAGGUCAUUAUCAAACUUAUACAAAAUUCUAUCAUCUGACGUUGACAAAUUAGAAAAUAAUACCUUUUAUCUUUCAACACAAUGUUCGUACACGGUUUCUUUCUAGUCCCAAUUGGUGUUGUCUUGACAAUCUCAUGAAGAAGCCCGAUGAUUUCUUAAAAAAAAAUUACAUCUAUAAUAAUAUUAUAAUCGGAGAAAACAAAGAAAUAAAUUAAAGCACAUAACUAUAUCAUAUAAAAUGUCAGAUUUGAAUUUUCCAUCUUGAAUUUCCUUAAAUGACUUAAAACGAAAUUCAUGAGUAAGAACGUUAGUUAACUUGUCAUACUUCUGCACCUUUGUAUCAGAACCAAAAACAACCCUAAAGAGAUUAAAUACAAUGUCCUUAUCAAACACAUGACAAUUAUACAAAGUAUAAGUCUUGUUUUCCUCGAUCAAAGCCUUUCAAUGCUCCAAUUCUCUAUACCGAGUUAUUACAUGAACUCGAUCACCCUAAAUUCGAGAAAGAAACCAAAAAAUGUAAAUAAAUCAAAAUGUACACUAAUAAGUAACAUUGAUAAAUCAUAAAGGAAAUUACAACAAAUCUUAACUAACUCAUCUAAUCUUUGCAUCACAAAUAAUGAGCUUCAUAUGUUGAUUCUCAUUACUACCAUUUACAAUCCAAGAAUCCAGCACUCCAAAUCCUAUUUUCCAAAUGUCCAAAUCAUUUUUUAGAUCCUUAAUGUAGUCAUAAUCCCUUGACAUCGAAAGUCCUAUAUAAAGAUACAAUAAUACAUCAUUUAAUUUUAUUCCCUUUGUUCAUUCUGAUAUCGAAAGAAGCUAACAUAUCCUAUGUGAUCAAUUUUUGUAUCAUCAAAUCAACCUGAUCUUAAAUGCACAAAUUUCUGAAUCAUCAACUUUUUGGACGUCAAUGAUAUGACCAAAACAAAUUUCACCAAUCAACUUUUGUACGGCUCAAUCAUAUAGGAAAGAAUAAACCAAAUAUGAAAAUUGUUAUGGCUUUAUGAUUACUCACAAAAACUAAAAUAACCCACAUACAUCAAUUUUUUUUCAACCACAGUACCAGAAGCUAAAAUAACAAUUGUGUCAAAACCUUAUCAUGAGCUAAAAUUCAAUCAUCAUGAUUUAUCAAUGUUACUUAUUAGUGUACAUUUUGGUGUCUUUCAAAAAGAUAAGAAUUUAUAUUAUAUGAUAUUAUAUUUGUUACAUUGUUGGUGCCAUGGAAACAUAUAUGUUUAGUUUUUUCGAAUAAGAAGAAGAUAUGCAUAGUUUGUUAUAAUAUAAGGGUGCAAAAUAUAUAUAUAAGUAUAAUUUUUCUAGGCAUCUAGACCUUUUUUGAAGAUAAGAAUAAAAAUAAUCAUACGCAUUAUGCAACGUCAAAAAAAAUUAUACGCAGUAGCGUAACAAAAAAACAGACACAUAUAAAGUAUUACUCUAAGCGCUAAUAUGUGUGUUCGUAUAUAUUUGCGAGGUUGAAGAAAGAAAAUAAAAAUAUUUGGUAUCAUUAAAUGACAGCGUGAAUAAAAAUAUUUGUAAGGUUGUGAUGAUUAAACAAUAUUGAAUUUAAAUGUAUAAGUGAUAAAAAGAUAAUAAAAUUCCUUUGAAAAAAAAGGUAAUAAAAUUAAAUGGGACCUCCUUAAAAAAAAUUAAAUGGAACGAUUCCAAAAAAAAUUAAAUGGAAGAAAAAAUCAUAUUGAAAUAUAAUAUUAAAAAAUAAAAGAAAAGGUUCCCAGUGUGAGUUGAAAAGAUGUGCUUUUGAAAUAAAUUGUCGAGAAGUAGUUUUUUAAAGUAACAUUCAACAACUUUUGGCCAAAGCUCAUUCCAUUCAAUUUUAUGCAUUAAAAAAAAAUUACUUUUUGUAGUAAGUACUUAAUUGAUAUUGUGUUUGUGUUUGACCUAACUUCUCCUUAAAAAUGUAGAAAAGUUGGAAAAAAAGCCGGGUCAAACGAUACCUUAUUCUCCUACAACGGCAAUGUAGAAGCAACUUAAUUUUGGACAAAAAAUUGAAAAAUAGUUAAAAACAUAAAAAUUGGAAAUAAAAUAUUUGGUAUCAUUUAAUGACAGCGUGAAUAAAAAUAUUUGUGGAGUUGUGAUGAUUAAACAAUAUUGAAAUUAAAUAUAUAUGCGAUAAAAAGAUAAUAAAAUUAAAUGGAACAUUCUUAAAAAAUUAAAUGGAACGGUUCAAAAAAAAAAGUUAAAUGGAAGGAAAAAAACAUAUUGAAAUAUAAUAUUAAACAAUAAAAGAAAAGGUUCCCAGCGUGAGUUAAAAAGAGGUGCUUGUGAAAUAAAUUGUCGAGAAGUAGUUUUUUUAAAGUAACAUUGAACAAAUUUUGGCCAAAGCUCAUUCCAUUCAAUUUUAUGCAUUCAAAAAAAUACAUUUUUUUAGUAAGUAAAUAGCGUGAGUUAAAAAGAGGUGCUUGUGAAAUAAAUUAUCGAGAAGUAGUUUUUAAAGUAACAUUCAAUAAUUUUUGGCCAAAGCUCAUUCCAUUCAAUUUUAUAUUCAAAAAAAUUUCUUUUUUUUAGUAAGUAAUUAAUUGAUACUAUGUUUGACCUAACUUCUCCUUAAAAAUGUAGAAAAGUUGAAAAAAUAAAAACCGGGUCAAGCGAUACCUUAAUCUUCUACAACGACAAUGUAGAAGCAACUGAAUUUGGGAUAAAAAAUUAAAAAAUAGUUAAAGUUAUCAAAAAUAUAAAAAUUAUAAAAUAAUUAAAAAAAUUGUGAGGGGCAAAAUGGGAAAUGCACCCAUAUAAUGGUGAGGUGGCAACAACACAAUUCCACCAAUUAGAAAAUUACAAAAAUACCCCUCCUAGGGGCAAAAUGGGAAAUUUAUAGAGCAUCAACUUUAAUAGUAGUAAGUAUAUAGAUAAGAAGAUGAAUGUGCAUCAUCAUCUUAGAAUGACAAAACAAUUAUUCUUUUUCUUUUUAUGGAGGAACGAUGGAUGCUUCAAUUUGGGGAGGAAGAAGGAGGAAGGAUUUUGUGUGAAUCAAUUUGGGGAUUUUGCAAAGGUAGGGUUCUUCAAUUAUAAACAUUUUAUUUUCAGAUUUUUUUUUUUUUAUAAAUUCUAAUUAUUAAAAUUUUUAAUUUAAUUUUACUAUUAAUGAUGUGGAAAUGAUGUGUCUAAUAAUGGUAUCAUGUUAGCAAUGUAAUAUAAUGUCAUUAAUGAACGCGCUACAUCAUUCAAAAAAAAAAGGAGGACAAUAAAUUUUUGUUGACAUUUUAAAUAGGAGAUCAAAAUGUUGGUUUUAGAAAAUGGAGUAUAAAAAAUUAACAAAAUUGAGAAAUGGAACAAAAGAUAAUAAACUAUAAGUUCAAAUGUUAUUUAAAAUAGCGUCUGAAAAAUAAGUUAUAUUAGUUCGUUAUGAAAAGAGACAGAUGUCAAACAGGACUUUUUGAUCAAACGACUUAUAAGCUAUAAACUCUUCUCUAUAAGCUACCUCUUUGCCCAUAGCAAACAGACCCGUGAGUGUGGGGGGAGGAGGAUGGUUUUGUCCAAUAACACCACCAAUAGGCUUGCGGAUAAUUAUAGAUGGAGGAAGGGGGUAUGAGUAUGAUAGUUCCGGAAACACUUGGAGGGAGUAGGUAGGAAAUAGUUGGAUGCAGUAGGGAUUAGUAGAACAUGAAGAAGCAGAUGUGUUGAAUAAAGGAAGAAGGGAGAAAGCAACUAGUGAUCAAUGAUUGUGUUGAUUUAUAAUGAGAGGCUUGGAGAGAUCGAAAAGGAAAAUGAUUAACUAGUUGGUGCGCCAAAAAAAGGUAGAUGUCAGGGUGUGCUUGGAGUGGAGAUUCUUAAAAAAUGUUGCUUUGACAAUAAUAUAUAUUCUAAAUGUGAUAUAAUGGCAAAGACGAGGUUGUGCGGGAAUCUUUUGAUGGUUAGAAAUACUUUGUGAGAAGGAGAAUGGUGUUCGAUGGAUGAUUUAAUACGCGUGUAGUUCGGAAAGGGGGAAGGGGAAUAAAUUUGGAAGCUUCUUUGGGACAACAGUUAGAAAUGAAUAUUUUCAAUAAGGGAGGUGGACUUGGUGGAUGUGACCCCUCUAGAUCGUAGAUUUACUUGGUAUAAUUUAAAUGGGAGUGCGAUGAGUCAUAUUGAUAAAGGUCAAAUUAAAAGAAAAAAUGUUACAAUAAAACACAGUAUUUAUUUAAGGGGAAAAUAUUUUUUUUAUAAUGUCGAAGUUACAUGCUAACAUGAUACGACACUGUUUUAAUUCGAAGGUGUGUUAAAACCUAGCAGCAGAUCAAAGGUACAGUACAACCACAAACCCAAGGUUACUUGCUUUCCAAGGCCACAAAAGGGACCUUUAACUCUGCUAUACUCUAUUUUGUGUAAAAUAGAGUGCACAUCGAUCUUCCCCUCAGAUAUACACUAUUUUGUGCUUCAAUAAAAAUUGAAGUGUUUCAAUUAUAAAAAUUUGUGAAGCGAAAACAAAGUAUUAACCGUUAAAAUUGUGAAGCGAAAACAAUGUAUUAACCGUUAACUAUGUGAAAUGAAAACAGAGAGAAUUGAUAUAAAUCUCGUAUUCAUAUCGCAUAUUCUGUGAUUUAACUAUGUGUACAAGAAGGUUUAAUAUUAACUAACUGUGAUAGAUUCUAGAUGACUCCUACAUUUCUAAUAUUAACUUCACUUGUUCUGUACAUUCUACAUUGUUACAGAAUUUGCCAAAUUUUCAGAAAAUUACAGAAUCUGUCCAUUAUACCUUGUUACUGAUGUAAAAGCUUGUCAAGUGUUGAUUCAUCAAUUUUUAUCUCUUAAGAAACAGAGCUUUAAGUGUGAGUGGAUGCACCUCACUUAAGAGCUUUUGAACAAGCAUUUGUUCACCAUUUCUCUGAGAAUUGUAUAUAUGUCGCUUGUUGCUCUAGGGCCUGUUUGAGUAAGAGUCAGAGGCAUAUAGCAGUAAAGAUAUUAUCAGAAGGCAUCAUCAGAUCCUAUUUUACAGCACUUGAUAUGUUUUUCAUCUCUUAAUCAUUUGAGAGUGAAAUAUCAUUUAUGGACUAAUCUUUGAACCAGCAGGCAGGAUUUCGGAAGCAAGUAUUUGAGGCUUUUGUGAGCAAUUGUUUGGUGCCUAAAGAGUAACCUUCGAAUAUCACUCCUUCCACAUUUUUUUCUCCUUUUCAGCUGUUGCUUUUGCCUUCUGUCGAACCAAGCAAAGUGUUCAUGUGCUCUCCACCAAAUCCAAUAUGCAUAAGCUCUUCAAGUAAAGACCUACUCAUAAACCAAAUUAUUUUGCAGUACCAUAAAAUGGAACAGAGUCAAUAAACUAAAUUUAUUCCCUAAGUUAUCGGUAUAAUGAGUGCGAGGAAGAUUAUGUACCUCAUAUCAUAUGUUUCAUCUAAUUCGAAGUUUGAUGGCAGAGUUCCAAAGAUGUCUAGCUUUAAUUUGUUUGAUGGAGGAAUUGUUUCUUCUAGAUCAUCUGAUUCAAAAUUUGUUGGAGGAAUUGUUUCUUCUCGAUGAUUGGAUUGAAAAUUUGAUGAAGAUGCAGAUGCAGUUUCUUCUUGAUCAUGAGAUUCAAAAAUUGUUGAAGGAAUAGUUUCUUCCUUAUAUAUCCAGUGAAAUCCACACUCUUUUAUCGAUACUUCAUCAUAUAGAUCUUCUUCAAUAAAGAAUCUAAAUGUAAGCUUUGGAUUGCAACUAGUGCUGUUCACAUCAUUAAUGGAUUUUAUUUCUUCAACUGCUGCCAUUAUCUGCUUGCAACUUGCUUGAUCAUACCAAGAAACCAAAUGAUCCGAUAUCAUGUGGAUUGAUGGAUCGAAACGCAAUAACCAACUGAAGAAAUUUGCUCUUGUGAAACUUGUUAUAUAGAUUCUUUCACCUGAACUAUUGUCCAAAUAGCACUCACAUCCAAAAUCCACAUCAUAUCCCAUAUGGCCUUGAGAAAGAACCAAGUAGUACGAAAAUCCCUGUAAAUUAGACGGAAGCUCAAGAGUGACACAAACUUGUGUAGAAGAGUAAUGGAACCAAUUUUCCAUGCCAGGCAUAGCAGGUAAAAAGUACCAAAUAAUUUCAUCAUCAUCAUAUAAAGAUGGUCCAGUUUCAAUUCUAUCCAUAGCAUCUUUCAAAACUGUUUGGUAUGAAUGUGGUUCCAAAUUUUUGCAGUUAAGGAGAUAAAUAAAACAAGGAUUGGGUUCCUCAUAUGGUUCAAUCGUUGAACUCAACACUUUCUCAAGAGAUUCACAAUUCGAGACAACCAAAACUGGAAUGAACUGUGAAAGUGCCGGAAUAGAUUGAAUCAUUUUACAAUCGUAAACAUCAACACGUUCAAGUCGGGGAAGAUACUUAAUGGUUUCAGGCAAGCUUCUAAUGUCCAUACCAUCCAGUGUUAAAGACUUUAACGACGAUAGUAAGGAGAUACUAUCUGGGAAUUCAGACAAUAUAGGAAUAUAAAUAAAGGUUAAUUCUUUUACACUCUGGAAGGCAGGACUAGAAAAUAAUUUAUCUAAGGUGAUAAAAGGGUCAUCUUCACGAUUCUGUGGACUCGAAAGCGAAAUAUGAUCGGCAAAGUUUUCUGGAAGAUCCACAAGACAAUCACUGAUUGGAAAGACAAACCGUUUAAGGUUUUGUUUAUGCAAUAUUGACGAUGGAAGUUCAUUCCGAUCCCACUCUGAUAAACACAAAUCCAAACCAUCAACGGAUGAAAAUGUGACUGAGAACUCUUUGAGAUUGAUGCAAUCCCUAGCUUCCAAUUUCCGGAGCGCUGGUGAACAAGUGUUACUCGAAAGGCUCUUAAGCGAUGUACACUCGAAUACAUUUAAAACUUCAAGCUUUUGGAGAAGGAAAAUUGAUGAAUCAACUUCAGGCAUGCUUUCACAAUAACGAAGUAUUACAUGUUUUAGAUUUGGGGAACCCGACACAUUUGGACACUCUAUCAGCUUUUUGGAGCCACCGAGGUCAAGUAUCUCUAAAUUUGGCAAAUCCUAUAACAAUAUACAAUUGGUCAAACAAGUUAGUGCAUUUUCUUAAAUUCUAUAGAUUUCACAACCAAGAAGGGGGAAUAAGUAUAAAGGCUCACAUGCAUUUUUUGUUUUCCUAUUUUGAUAAAACCACAAUUUUGGUCAGCCAUUUCUAAUUAUGCAAUUUUGAUCACCUAUUUUCUAAUUACGCAAUUUUGGUCCCUAAUUUUUAGAAAUUGGGAGUAUAUAUGUAAAAGAGUCUUGCUAAUGAAUGCUCACCAUCAUUUUCCAUUAUAAAAUACUUAAAACUUUUAACAAAACCAAAAAAAAUACAAGGAUCAUACUUACCAGUACUCCAUUCCAAAGUUUUUCCACAUGGCUUCCUUUCAAUGAAAGCUCCACAAGCAUUUCAGGACAAAAGGUGGAAGGCAAAGAUUGCAAUGGAUAGCCAUCCCAUUGAAAAUAUCUUAAAUUUUCUGGCAAUAAAUCAAGACCAUGUGGAAGGUUUAUAGAUUUAAUUCCCUUGUUGUCUUGAAAAGCAAGUAACCUUAGAUUUACCAUCUUUUCAAAUGAUUCAGGUCUUAAAUUAAUAUGUGUGAAUUCAGUAGCAUCUAAAAAUAUGGAUUCAACAUUCUCAGAUCCCUGUAAAAAAGUAAAUCUCAACGUUAGUAUUUCCGUAGGAAGUUGCAUUUUGUAUAUAAAGAUCAUAUGAAUAGGAAGGCAAGUGAGGGCAUCUCUUACUCUAUUAUUUUUCAAUACAUUACAAACUUCCUUAGGAUCACAUAAUCUACUGCGUUGUCCGGGAUUCUUAAGUGAUUCUUCACGAACAAUUUGUUUUCCUGUUUCUUGUAUCAAGUCAUGCAUUUGUAUGCAAUUUUCAAAGUCAACGCUUAUAAGAGCCUUGUCUAAAAGAUUACUUAUCCCUAUAUCAGCAAAGAAACCACACUCAUUUAAUAUUUUUGUUAUUCUAUUCCUUUCAUGUCCUUUGAAAAAGCACGCAAUGUCUAAAAAUAUAUCUUUCUCUUUAUCAUCCAAUUCAUUAUAACUCAAUCUGAAUAUAAAAUCAAUUUCAGUGUUUGGAAUUUCUUUCAGUUUAGCCAGUGCACAAUCCCAUUCAAUUUCACUUUUACAACGAAGUAAUGAUCCCAAUACUUUCAAAGCUAAAGGAUUUCCUUUGGCAUAAUCAACUGCUCUUUUUGAGAGCUCCACAUAUCCAUCCUUAGGUGAGACUUUUCCAAAAGCAUUCAAGCUGAAAAGCUGGAGGGAAUUUUGGGAAUUCAUCUUCUUAACUUCAUAAAUUUUUUCAAUCCCUCCACUUAUCAAGACAUGCUUAUCCCUAGUCGUCACAAUGACUGUGCUACCAGAUCCUAGCCAACCAUGUCCUACUCCAAUCAAGUUUUGCAGAAGUUCUGAAUUAUGUACAUCAUCUAUUACAAUGAAAGAUUUCAUGCGUUUGAGUCUUCUCAUGAUCAUUGAUGGUAUUAAUUUGGAAGUAUCAAUAUCAAGAUCUUCCCUGAGUAACUUGGAAAGAAGUUUGUUGCAUGUGUAAUUGAUCCCAUGUCUCUUUGAUACUUCUGUUACCUUUUCUAAGAAGCAACUGCCUUCAUAUUUAAAAGAGACCCUUUGAAACAUAGCAGCAGCAAGGGUUGUCUUACCUGUGCCUCCCAUACCCCAAAGUCCAAUGAUUUGAACUUCUGUUAGAUCAGAUUUUAUUAAAGAUUGAAUGCUCCAAUAGUUUUCAUCAAGUAUGAAAUUACAUGGAAGAUCAUUUGUAUACUGUUGAUUUAAUUUUCCUAAUACAGCUCUAGUAAUGGCUUCAAUCAUUUCAGAUUCAGUCCUAACAUGUGCAAAAAAAAAAAAAAAAAGUUAAUACAUAUCAUAUGAAUGCCAACCAAAGGUAAAAUCCAAUUCUUCAUCUGAAUCUUAGAAUUAAAAUAUUAGGAAAAACUAACAAAAUACUCAAACAUUCACACAAUUCAUUUUCAUUUAUAUGCAUUUACAGAACAUACAUGUAUUGAAUUGGGCUUGAUCCUUAAGUGUACUUAAAUUAACAUUUUUGUUGAUCAAAGAUAAUUUUCAACCAAAUAGUAUGUCAGGAAAGGCUGUUACCAGACCAAAAUUAUAAUCGACGUAAUUCUCAAUAUAAAAAUAUCAUCAACAUUAAUGAUUAAAAAUAUAAAGCACAUGGGAAUAAACAUGUAUUUACAAAUGAUUAUUUUACUUUAUUAGAUCCUACAUAGUCUCUUUAGUUUCUGUUGUGAAUCCGGUUGAAACUCACACCAAUGAAAUAAACAAUGAUGUGUGGAGCAAGUGAUAGUGGUAAUCAAUGAGAACAAAUGGUUUCCAAGCAAACAACAACAAAGCAGCCCUAGACUAGUGUAUAGCAAAACCACACUAAGAGAUAACAAAGCAUAAACAAGAUAAGCAAGAAAGGAAGAACAAAACACCGAGAAGAUUGUUGACCCAGUUCAGCCAAUAUGGCCUAAUCUGGGGGAGAGAGCAGCUCUCCAAUCCAAUAUGAGAAAGUGUUACAAAAGGUUACAAGAAACUCUAGCCUUCAAGCUUUACACAAGACAAACCCUAGAUUCUACCCUUUGGUGUUUCCCCACUCUCACAAGAUGAACCCUAAAAAAGAGAAGUCACUAGAGGAAGCUUUUGAUCCUUCCAACUAAUGAACUCCUCACUACCCAAGGUGAUUACAAUGUUUUUCCCAACCCAAGAGACACUCUCAACAAAGACACUCAACCCUUUGGUUCCCUCCUUUGCUAUCCAAGUUCUAUCUCUAAGCUCUUCCAAGCUCUCUCUCAAAAAAGCACAAGAACACAAUAUAUACUAGUCUUCCUCUGAAGAAAUUGUGCCACGAUUUCCCACAAUCGUGUCACGAUUUGCAUCUGACCCAAGGUUGACAAGUCCUUAUUAGUGAUACUUAACGAGCAAGUUUCUGAAUCGUGUCACGAUUUCCCAAGAUCGUGCCACGAUUUGGCGUCCUGCAAACUAGCUCACGGCACCUUGAAAUCGUGUCACGAUGCCAAAAUCGUGUCAUGAUUUCUCUGUUCUUCCAGACCACAAAUUUGAAGCCAAUAACAACAGUUUCUUUAGUUUGUUAGUCUCUUAGUCUUAACUUGUUGUUGUCGUCGUUGUCUAUUAUGAUCAUGUUGAGUUUAUUGUCUUUCUAGUUCCUACCCACCGUGUAUUUUUUCGUGUGAACUAAGUAGGUAUCAUAUACGCACAAUUGCAAAGAAUAAUCUUUCAAGUUGCAUAUGAUUAUAAUAGAUGGUAAAACUGUCCUUCAAAAAAUUUAUUUAAUGAUGUUGCAUUUCAUGAUUUAAGAUAUUCGGUGAUUCUUUCCUUUUCAUAUUAGUAACAUAUUUUACUAAAAAUACAAGGGAAUCUAGUUACCCAAGAGUAACAUAUUCUGUCCUUCAAAAUUGAUUUAAGUUGUUAUUUUCUAGUUUGCACUCAACUUGAAUAUGCUUCUAAACCUUAUGAUUUUUUAGCGAUUUAUUUUUUUUGCGUUUUCAUCAUAGUCAAUAGAUCAUAUAGCGUCAAUCUUCACUCAAUUGCGAUCAAUUAGCAAAUUUGAUAGGUUUUGAUGAUGAUGGAUAAUUGAAAGGUGGGGAUUCCGCAUUCAGAUGGAUGAGUGGGUUGAGAUUGGUGGUUCGGUUAGGUAAUCAGGGUUAUGUAAAACAAAAUGUUAAAUGAGCAAUAAUUCGGUAGUUAUCUAACGGAGGUAGAAAAUCGAAAUUUUUAAAAUGAACAUCCGAUAGUUAUCUACCGGAUGUACAAAAUAGAUUUUUUUUUUCUUUUUAAAAUGAACAUCCGGUAGUUAUCUACCGGCUGUACAAAAUGAUAUUUUUUUAUAUGAACAUCUGAUAGUUAUCUACUUGACGUGUUAUUAAGGACAAUUUCAUAAUUUUAAGAGGUCUAAAGAGAUAUGAGAGGGGGGGCCUAAAAAGAACCUUCCUUGUUAGUUUACCUAGAAGCAAUAUAAUUAAUGCAAAAUUACCAUAGGGUUCAUUCUCAAGACACCAAAAACACAUUACCUCGUGCAUUUUUAUACGUUAGAUUUUUUUUUUGUUAAACCUUUGUUUCUAAGGGAAGGUGCCUCUUUUUUUUUUUUUUUUUUUUAUAUUUUUUAUAAUUUCUUUUAACCCUAUUGUUGAAAUAAAUAAAUAAUUUUUCAUCUCCCUUUCUUUCUCUGGCCCUCCAUCAUAUACUUUCUUUCUUUCAUCUUUGUGUUCUCUUUACCUGCUUUGGUUGUUUUUUUUCCAUAUCAUUUUUUUUUUGUGCUUUAUAUAUAUAGGAAUAGUACUAUAUUAUUAGAGUUUUGCGUCGGGGGUUUACUAGUAUAAAUUCCAUACUGAAGUUUUAUUGCAUAAGAUUUUCUAUGAUAUAAUAGGAAUUUUUUUACUGAAAUAUUCUUAUUUCUUUCAUUGUAUUCUUAUGUGAUUAGGUGCUUUUAGAUGUGAACAAUGAAUUGUAACAAUUUCCUUUAAAAAAUAAAGAAUUGUAACAAUCUUUUAGAUAUUUAUUAAUUAAUUAUCGAUUUUAAUCACAGAACCAUGAUUUAGAGGUUUCUUCGGUUCGAUCUCCGAUCUGAUUUUUACAACAUUGAUAUUAAUUUGACGGGCAGACCGAUAAAAUUUAAUUUUAAUGUAUGCAAAAACAGAAAAACCUGUAUGUGGUGGAAUGAAAACCAGACAAAUUAGCUGCUUGAAAAAGAGCAUUCUUCCAAUUUUGCAUCAUCUUAUCAUCAUUUUUGCCUUGUUUCUUGUGUUUAAUCAACGCAGUGCCAUAACUACCAGUCUGCUUCCGCACGUGUGAAGGGUCAACAUGGUAGAACACUGGAAUAACAACAACCUUGUCAUCUUCAUUUUUGUUACAACACUCCAUUAUUUCAACAAGUUCGUUCAAACACCAUGUUGAAGAGGCAUAGUUUUCCGAGAACACCACAAGAAAUAUAGUGGAUUGUUUGAUUGCUUUCACUAGUUCUACCCAAACUUCAUCUCCUUUCUCGAUCCUGUAGUCUAUGUAGGUAUAAAUCUUGCUUCGGCACAAAUCAGCGUAAAGAUGGCUUGUGAAUCCAGCGCGAGUGUCAUCACCUCUAAAGCUGAUGAAAACAUCAUAUUUCUUCAUAGGCAUAGUAGCAGCAUGAGAAGAAGAAGAAGAAGAAGAAGAAGAAGAAGAAGAAGAAGAAGAAGCCAUAUAAUCUAUGAGUUAUUGUCCUUAGAAUGUGGGAAUACCCACAUGUAUAAAAGCACAUUUUCAUAAUGUGUGUGGACCCUUCUUUAAGCACUUUGCAGAAAAAUGGGAUGAUAAAGUGGAACACCAUGAGUGAUGCCUUUACUUUUUCUUUUGAUUUAUAGCAUAUGAUUUAUUCCUUUUUUUUUGGCAGUAUUUUUUUUAUAGUAAGGUUAGCAGUUACCGGAUGGAAUAUGGGAUUUCUUAGAAUUCCUUCUUUUUUUAGUGGUGGCCGGGGUUCGAAUUUCGGACCUUGCAUAUUUUAUGCAUUGUCCUUAUCAACUGAGCUAAGCUCACGAGGACUUAGAAUUCCUUCGAUGUUUCUUUAAAAGUAUUUAUUUUUGUUGAAUGAAAUUUUAUGUUUGUUUUGAUCCGAUAAAAGUGAAUAUCCAGUAAAAAUUGCAUUUAUCUAGUAUGUUUUACUGUUUUUAUGUUAUGUGAUCUAUUUGUUUCUUCUAUUUAUGUAGUGAUAAUUUUAAUUUUUUUUUUUUUUUUUUUGUGCUUUAGUUAGGAAAGAGGAAUGGGUUCUGAUGGAAUCAAAGCUAAUUUGAGAUUUUGACAUUUGAGGAUUAGAAUUUUAUUCUCUUAUAUUUAGGAAUCAAAGCCAAUUUGUCUUGAAGAAUUUUAUCUUGAAGAAUAAAUGUGUGAAAAAUUUGAGAAUUUUAUUCUUUUAUCGUGUGAAGAAUAAUUCUAAUAUGGAAUUGAAGAUAAUAUUUUGGCCAUCUCAACAAACAAGAACAUUAAUGUGAAAAAAUCCGAAUUUAAAAAAUAUGUAGGUUGUAGGAAUUACAUUUUAGUUCAUAAUCAAUCCAAAAAGAGACUCUGUAUCCGAUGUAAUCUAUCAAUUUGAAUGAAUGAAUAUCAUUUAUUUUUGUCAAAAAAAAGAACAUUAAUGUGAUUAAUAACGGCAGACCUUGGUAGAUGAUGGAUAUAGAACACGAGGAUAAUGAUAAUUUAUCUCAUGUGCAUAAAACACUAAGGGUGUGUUUGGAUUGAGGGUUUAGGAGGCGAAGGAGGGAGGAAUUUACAUUUUUUUUAAUUACGGACUAUAUAACAUGUUUUUCUAAAAUAAAUUAAGUGUGAUUGAAGUAUUAUACGAUCGUUUAUCAAGUUAAUAUGUUAAUUUUUUUAAAAACAUUUCAUAGUGUCCGUAUUUUAAAAAUGAAAAACCACCAAAUUAAGUGGUCGAGUUUAUUAUGACGUUGGUAGUCUGUUACGGCUAACCUUAAUGGUUUUGGGUCUUUUAGCAACACUUAUGAAGUGUUACAAAUUUAUUUCUUGCCUGUGAUUCAUCGAAGAGGCAUUCCACAAAGUUCAUUUAAUUAUCUUACCAUCAUUUAAUCUCUUCAUGAAUUACAUGUUCCCCGCAGAUUCAUUGUCUUUUACCCCAUUUCUCUUAAUAUAUUAUCUAUUUAGUGAGAAAUAAAAAAAAAAUUGUGAUACUACUCCUAAUUAAAAGUUAAUAUACUAAUUUGUUUAAUGAAAUAGACGAAUAACCAUGUUAUCAUGGAACAUGUUCCUUCCUUAAAAAUAAAACCUUGUUAUGAUGGUGUUGCAAGAAUUUUCUCUACUUUUGGCACAUCCGUUAUAUAGAUUCGAAGAUAACCCGUAAUCAAUAUAUAGGAGGCAAUGCUAGAACAUCAAUCAUUCAUACCAUGAGCCCUACAUGCAUGGAGUUAUGUUGAACAAACCAAAAACACCCUCCCAUUUGAAAGGUGUGCUAAAGAAGUGGCAACUAGUUCUAGAACGGUUGUAUUUGACUUUAAUGAUUAUUUAAUCAGUGAUACAAGAUAGACCUAAAUGAGAAAAGCACUAUUCACAGUUUCUUAAAUUUGUCUAUUUAAACCCAUGUUUAAUCGUCGACAAUUAAGUACCUUCAAAAUAUGUUUUAGGUGAAUAGUUUUUACAAUCAUGCCUAAUCAGUUUUGAUAAGAAAGGCUCAUUAUAAUUAUAAAAAUAAAAAAAAAAAUUAAAUAGCUUGGAUAUAACAGCGAAAUUGCUAGGAAUUUUAGCUAGAGUUUUACUGCAAAAUUGUUGUGACGAUAUAUCCUAGCGAUAUAGUUACGACACAUAAACUUUUGAACAAUAUUUUACUAUAAUUUAAUUGGUAAUUAGCUACAAUUUUUUCAUAUAUUAUUUUCAUUUUAGCUAGUAAAUAUUUUGCCAGAUCAUUUUCCGUUCAAUGCAUGCUAUGACAGCUAAUUCAUAAUUAUUCUCUAGCUAAAUGUAUUUGCGCUAGAGAUUAGCUACAAAUUUGCUUAGAUUUCAAUCUUGCAGCUAAUGGCAGAUUUUCUUGUAGUGCACGCAUAAUGAUUUUGAUUUAUUAUAUUGCCUAACUAUAAUUUAUCAUGUCAUUUUUUGUGCCGAUCAAGAUUCACUUCAAUCAAUAUUUUACCACAUUCACACAUUCGAAAUAUCUACAGUAGUUGGAUCAAGAUCAAAAGAUCAUGAUCUAACGACCGCUGAUAUGCCAAAGAUGAAUGUAGAAAAAAUAUUAAAUACUGAGGCUGAAUUAAAAUAUUAGGAAGAACAAGAACAAGACAAAUACAAUCUAUGUAUAGUAUACCAUAUAUUUUGCAAAUUAAACAGUGAGAUUUGUGGUCACAACUACAAACUAAAUAGGAAAUAAUUUGAAAUGAACCUAAAAAUAAGUGGUUUCCCUAGAGAAAGUCGAAGAUUUAAAAUCAAGGCCGCAAAGGAAACCUGUAAUUUCAAACCAUGAAGGCACUAAAUGUAGGUGGCAAUGACACGAAAUCUAACCAUUUUGAAGUUCUAACUCCCUUCUUAGUAGUGGCGGAGCCUUUCAUGGGCUGGGGUGGGCCACGGCCCACCCGAAAAAAUUAAAAAAUCAACAAUUAUAGGUCUAUUUUGUGAGAUUUUAUGCAAUUUUGUGUCGAUUUUAUGUUUUGGUUGAUCCAAAUUCUUGCAAAGUGGUGUAGUGGCCCACCCGAAAAUUUAAAUAAUUCAAUUAUAGUUUUAUUUUGCGAGAAUUUAUACAAUUUUAUGUCGAUUUUAGGUUUCGGAUGAUCCAAAUUCCCGCAAAUUGGUGUAGUGGCCCACCCGAAAAAUUUAAAUAAUUCAAUUAAAGGUCUAAUUUGCGAGACUUUAAACAAUUUUUCAAUAGUUACUUUUAGUGGCCCACCCUGACAUUUUUUUUCUGGCUCCGCCACUGCUUCUUAGCCAUUAUUUCAUUAGUUAAAUUUACUUUGAAAUCCAGAAGUCCUAGCUCAACUGGCAAAAUGCCGAAAUUGUUAGGCCGGAUGUCAUGACCGGGGUUCGAACCCCGGUACCUCCACUUGUGUGUGUGAGUUUAUAAUGGCUUUGCCAUUUCGUCUAUCUACCAAAAAAAAAAAUUACUUUGAAAAUUGAGAUUCACUUUGUAGCCAUGAAACGGUUUUAUAACAGAGUGAAUUUGAGAUUCACUUUGAUAUAUAUAUAUAUAUAUAUAUAUAUAUAUAUAUAUAUAUAUAUAUGUAGUUUCUUUGGAAACAAAUAGGUCAUGGAAGGAAAUGGGAGAUGCAGAGAAGAGCCGGUCGAUAGAAAAAGACUAUUGUUUUUUGGUAUUGUCGAUCUUACUAACAUCUUGUUUUAAUUUUUUUUUACUCUUUCAAUUAUUUAAAUAUUUAGUAUGUAUAUUUUUAUCAUUGAAUUAGAUUUUAUCCUUUAUUUAGUAGAAAAUUAAUUUCAGUAUAAAUAUCAUAAAUUAAUUUUUAUUCGAAUUUGUAGUGGUAAAUAAAAAUAAACGAAUUAAAUUUAAUAAAUAGUAUUAGGUUCUAGUGAAAAACACAAAACUGUUGGUAAAAGGCAUGUUUUUUUUGCUACUUUUAUUCAUGACGUUUACGCACCGGAUAAACCGUAGGUAGAACUUAAAACUUUUGGUGACAGUCACUUGAACUUUUCCUCUCAGACACAACCCUUGAAAUUGGGCGUACGUAAUUGACGCCUUUUUCUAGUAUUGAAGGACUUCUAUGGACAAAUAUUAUCUUUCUGUUGAUGUCAAAUUUCUUGAAGUGAUAUGUUGGGGGUAUAAGUGUGAAUAGUUUGUUGGAACAAAAUGUGUUUCACAAUGAACCUUAAUGAGUUUUGAUGAUAACAUGGUAUUAAAAAUUGUCAAUUGGUUAUUACUAAUUAUUGUUCAAGUGUACAGGACCAAAGGCUAGUCAAGUAAUUUCAACAGGUCUUGGAAGAACAAUGAAAAGCAAAAGAAUUCCAAGCAUCUGAAGAAAACUGCUCCUGAAGUUGAAGUGCUUCUGAAGUGAUGACGUCAUCAGAAGCAAGGUUUUCAUCAGAAGCUAUAUCUUCACCAGAAGCUACAUUUGAUCCUUUAAUCAAUCUGAAGAUUCAAAGUAGCUGGUUCUCAAUUCAAUCUUAUCUAAGAAGAACGAAGAAUUGAAAGGGAUGUACCAACGGUCAUAUGGAUAGCACUGAGCAUUUGUCCCUCGUUAACAGAGUUGACAAAGUACAAGUGUACAACCACUACCUCCACUACUCUGUUUUUGUCCACGCUACAAGACAAGACAACAGCUAUGCCUGCAUAAUUUGUGUCCUCAAGAUGGGAAUGAAUUUGAAGCUUAUUCUUCAAAGGAGUACACUCAAAUCAGGCAAAGGAUUACUGGUGGAUGAUCAAAGGAUUUCAAACGACUCUUUAGACGUUCUGAUUAUCUCAACGUCUCUUUCACGCCUCUAUAUAAAGGAGUGAAGACUUGAAGAUUAAAGAUAGAGAUAUACAAGUUCAAAAGCGCCAAAACUCUGUCAAAUUGAUUCUACAAAGCACACUGAAUUUCUGCACUGAUUUGAUACAUCUUAGAAAUUCAAAGUCUAGAGUCUUUAUUGUAUUGUAUUGAGAACACCACUGAUUGUAUAUCAAGUGUUCAAGUCAAACUCAAUUCUCUGUAUUUUUGUUUGAUCAGAAGUCUCUUGCCUGCGUGCUUGAGCAUUAGAAGUCUCUUGCUUAGUGCUUGAGCAUUGGAAGACUCUUGCGUGUGUGCUUGAGCAUUUUUGUGAAGUCUCAUACUUAGAAAGUAUUGAGCAUUUGUAAUCUUUGUGAUUAUAGUGAAAUCUCCUUGGAAGUGCAAGGGGGACUGGACUACUUCCGUGUUGUGGAAGGAACCAGGAUAACUGCUUGUGUCUUUGUCUUUCUUUUCUCUGCUCUGCUCUGUUCUUUUCCGCUGCAUAUCUAAUUCUGAUCAUUUCAUCAGAAGCACUCACAAACUGCUUCUGAAGGUUUAUCAGAAGAAGAUUUUUAGAGAGAAAAAGAAAACACAAUUCAACCCCCCCUUCUUGUGUUUUUCUCACCUUCAUAGUUUAGUCUCACAUCGACUAUAAAUUAAUUAAAUGUAGGAUAUAUAACUUAUAAGAGUGGCGACUCAUGCCUAAUGUCUUAAGGUUUUGGGGUGGAGAAGUUGUGUCCAAUCUCUUGAUGGUCCUGAUCAUUUACCAAUUGUUUCUCUUAGCGCUCUCCCGGACUCUGCAACAAUAUCUUGAAAAACCAAAUGGUUAUAAAAUCGUUAACUUGCAUUGCUUUUUCAGCACUGUCUUGUUUUUGCCAUGCCAUAUUGCAAAUUUACACUACUAGAUUUGCACAAACCUUGGUGUUAUUAAUUAACUUUUUCCAAACAUAAACUCUUGUAUUUCAUAUCACAUGUCUAACACAUACAAGAGGUACACACAUCAUGAGUAUUUCUUAUUGAUGUAAAGUAAACCAUAAAUACCAACAAACAAACAAACAAACAAACAAACAUAACAACAUGACCAUGAUGAGGUAAUUUGACUACUUCACACAUUUUAUUUAAAGCAACAGAACAAACAAUGAAACUCAUUAAAUGGAGAUACUAUUAGGAAUGCCUCUGCCAGUCAAUCCUUCCUCACUAGAAGGAUAAAGCAGAGUGUAUGGCAUCUUCACAGGCCCGUAUCGGUUUCUCAAUGACUCAUCAUUGUUCCUUUUGAUGAGCUUUGCCUCAAUUUCAGCCAACUUCCUUCCAAACCUCUUGAAAGCUUCUAAUGGCUGUGAAUCAAAAGUCCAAGCCUCACCUUCAUUUCUCUGUCCAAGGUAUUGCUCAUCAGAAGCAUGCCUUGACAAGACCUCUAUGAUUGUAAGGUCAGUUAGGGUAUCAUUUUUUGGUGUGAUUGUCCUCAGAUACGCCUUCUGAAAGUUCUUAGAAAGCUCGUCAUACUCAGCAGACCCUUUCUUAGGCAUGUGUCUCCGGCUCUUAGUUGGUCGGUUAAGUAUAUAUCCUCCAUAUGGGUAUUGACCAAAAUUAACAGCUGCAUGAUGUGCUGAAGCAAUCCAUAUGAGGAUAGUGCAAGCUUCAAUCAACUCUGUACAAGUUUGCAUCUUAAACCACCAUGUAGCAUUCUUCAAAUCACCAUGACCCACCUCUACAACUUCUCUCCAAAAUGCUUGCAGUUCAGAAUCUUGCGCAACAGCAACAUCUGACUUGUAGUAGAAAUUCACAUAUUCUUCAACCCAUGACUUGAUAGCAUCCCAUAUCUCUAGUCCAUCAGCAGCAUAAGGGUAGUCCUCUAUCAGAAGGCGAAUUCCAUGUGGGGAAGUUGGAUCCUCAACAGCCACUCCUCUAGAUAUAGCAUGCAAGGAAGAUAUCAUUAACAUAAAAAAUACUUUUGACAUCAAUAUCUUUUUUACCAAGAUUAUUAAAUUUCUAUUGUAGUCACAAUCCUAGCCAUUAUAGAGAAUUGCGGUAAAAUAUAGUUGAUGCCUUAUCUUAGAUCAUGGUUACUAGCAUUAUUUCAAUCCUUUUUUAACUAAUGAAUGAGUAGUAACUAAUUUUUUUUUGAAGGUUACCUUUUAAGUAGAUCAUUAGGUAGUCCUUGAUCUGGGAAAACCCAAUCCUUAUAUAAUACAGAAGACAGUUCUAUAGAAUGACUUCCCAAUAAGAAUGUUGAUUCUAUAAUACCCUCUGCAUUUACCAAGACACUCCUUGCAAGUGCAUUAAUGUUCAUUGUGUCACGAUAAUGUGGAAGCAGAAGUUUGUGAAUAGGGUGAACCACACUAAGAUGCCUAUUAGUUGCUAUGAUGAAUGGCUCAACAACAGCGUGCGUGUUCAACCUGUUACACAUGUAGAUAUUCAUGAAUCAAUCUUAGAUAUAUAAAAUUAAAUAUGUUUGAUUCUAUAAAAAUUCAUCAACAUAAUUGUACCAGUGGCUGACAAGUUGGUGAACAGAAGAGUCAUUUACAAUAACAUAAGCCUUGGCAAGGAGCCAAAUAGAAGAUUCAACACCUUCCUUUGCAGGCAAGUAAACAUCACUAACAGGACCAAAGCUAUCAGCCUGAGGAUGUGGGCUACUUAGCUCAAUGGCUAAUGGCUUCAAAGUUCCAUCAUUUUGUAAGAAAAUGAUAGUUCUAGUAGCAUAUGCCUUUGUUGUAUCAGCUGCAUUUAUUUUCCUCAGAUAUGGAUAUAUUGAGUCAUGGUGAUCAAGUAUGUAAAGCCUGUUGUUUUGGAUAGCCUAUUGAACAAAAUAUAAUUUAGUCAUUGCAAUUAUUUGAAUAAUAAAUAACCACAAAAUAACAUUGUCAAAGUUAAAUUAUAUGCAUAGUAUUAAUGUUAAACUAUGUCAUUACUUCUUCUACAGUGACCCCAUCCAUGUUUAGCUCUAACUGUUCUUCGGUUAUUGUGCUCGUAUUAUCACCAUAAUCGGUAUUUAGCUUGCUCUUUGGUGGGAACUCCUACAUUAUAUAUAACAAGUAAUACUGAAAUUAAGAUUGAAAAUAUAGUAUGUAAAGUGGACAAAAUAGAGUUUAAUUUUGUGUUUGUAAAGAAAUCGUUAAACUAUUAAGUUUACCUGAAUUCUUUUUAUAAUGUGUGGAUUCACACCAGCAAUCAUCUCCCUUGCAAAUUCUUCAUCAGUCAUCCACGCAGACUGAUUAACUGCUCAAAAUAAGAGCAUUGCAAAUGAUCUGUAAUAUUUUUAUUUAUUCUAUGAAAAUAUAUUGCUAGGACUAACUAAUAGAUACCUUGAAUCACUUUAGGCGGUGGAAACUUUAGGGCCGAUUCACCAUCAGUUCGGAAGAGUUCCUUGAAAAAUGGUAUGGGGCUAAGUUUGCUAAGUAUACUAGUAGGUAAUUUAAUCCCACCAUCAUAAAAUGAUCGCACAUCAUCAAAGCUAUUAAAUUCUGGCUUAUUGAGUUGUAAUGUAAUUGCAGAUUGUAAUUGAGGUAUGAAACUUUGAGAAGCUGAUUUGAGUAUGUAAACAAGAAAAUCUGAAGACUUCAAGUGACCAAAUGCUUCAUCUCUUGGAACGUAAACAAAGUCGUCCCGUCUCUCACUUUUAGGAUCUGUUCACAUACAAAAUUGAAGACACGCAUUAGCAAGUACUAGCAAAAAGAUCGAUAACUUUAAAGUCAUAAUAGAGAAAAUGUUUUGAUCACAGCACCAUUAAUUUAAUAUGGAACUUUAAAAUUAUAACCUUUUUUAGCUGGUUUCCUGCCGGUUCUGCCCCUUCGAGGGUAAGGCAAGGUGUCGGAUCCUCCAAUAACGGGACGAGCCAAGUGUGCGUACUUGUCAGGAUCACCCAAGUCAUUGUAAACAUCGUAGUCAUAGAUUCUAUCGUGUUCCUUGCGCUGACCCGUUCCAUCUCCUCUUAAAGUCUUCAAUUCUUCUUCUCUAUAGUAGACUAAUGGAGCUGGUGUUUCACUUGGAAGGUAUGUCUAUAUUUUUAUUUAUUUGAUGGUGUAAGAUUUCAGGAAAUAUAGUUCAUAUUUAAAGGUCUUGCUAACAAGUGCCCUAAUGUUAAGAUUAAAAUAUUGAAACCAGUUGAUAGCUUUCAUGUAGAAAAAAUUGUUUUUUGAUGUUCCAAUGUGUUAACAUUUCACUAUAUUUAACAUGCACGAUAAAUAUGGUAUAUUCAUUACCUUGUUGGCGAAGAAGAUGCGUUUCGUUUUAUACUUGUCAGCACUGUAAAUCCAUGAGUUGCAUACAAAGUUGAUGGUUCCAUGGUUUGGAAUAUCUUCAAGUGUCAAACUUACAAGGAAGAAUUCUCGUGUCAUGUUACUCUCAAUAUAAAAUGCUCCUGGAACUCCCAUGUCACUAUUCCAUUCAAAAUGAAUAUCAUAUGCAGACUGUCCUGCUCCCAAAAUUGGCAUGGAAGUAACAAAACCUUCAAUAAAUGUUUUCUCUCCGACUUUCCCUUUUCCGCUUCCUACAAAUAUGUUACAAGUUUGAUUUACAAUUUCAGCAAUGAUAAUACUCCCUCCGUCUCACAUCAGGUGUCACAUUUGAGUUUUACACAAUUAUUAAAAAAAUGAUUAAUAAUUUUGAUUUUAAUGAUAAAUAUGUAUCAUUUACUAACAUACUUUUAUUAAUUAUAAUUAGUGGAAUAUUUUUAAAUGAUUCAAAUACAAUAGAUACAGAUAUGUUAAAAGAAAAUAAUAAUAAAUAUUGUAUUAUUAGUGUUAUAAAAGGGACAAAUAAAUUAAGAAAAAAAACAUAUAAUUUAAGACGGAGGGGAAAAAACAUCUAAUUUGAAACGGGGGAGUAACAUUCAAGAUUAAUUUAUGUCAAAGUAACAAAUUACUCUUUUUGUGCCAAAAAAAUAUUAAUUCUUUCCACCUGAAUAAAGUGUUUUAUAUAGGAGUUGAUAGUUGAUUAUAUCUUUCAUGCUAUAAAUAAGUUUUUGGUCCCUUUAAAUAUCUCAAAUUUCAGUUUUUAUAGUUCAAAAUAUUUUCAGCAAAAUUUGGGUUUGCUAAAAAUAACUUAGAAGGAAAAACUUGCCAAAUUGUUUUAGAGAGACUAUAUAUAAAAUUUUAGAUAUUUAUACAGUAUCCCUAAAAAAAAAAAGAAAUUUAUACGGUAGAAUUAUUUUUUUUAACCCAUUUUGUAAUGAUAAAACAAAAGGGAAACUGAAUUGAAUCUUAUGGACUAAGGGUCAAAUAAUAGAGGAAAAAAAAAAUCAAAUUAUUGAUAAGUAUUAAUAAAAAAAUUAAACCUCACAAAGAUUAAUUUAAUGUAUCAAACUAAUAACUGAAGACUAACAUAUCAUAUGAUUUUCUAUGUAAAAUGUUACCAGAUCGAAAAUCAUAUGAUAUGUUAAUGAGGUAAAUCAAGACUAACUUCUGAUGUGUGUGUAUAAACUUCAAUUCAUUUGUAAACUUUAUUAAUGUUUACUCGUUAAAGCGUUAUUGAGCAGCGCAACACUGUCCAAAUACUAUAUGUGUUCAGUGUUGUAAAUUUAUGACGAGCAUUAUGUAGUCUUAGAAUGAGAAAUGAAUAAGUUUAUUACCAUCGGCAGUGGUAGCACUGAUCAACCUGAGAGCCACAGAACGGCCGACAAAGGCCCCGGCGGUGUCAAUUAGAGUGCCGGCGACACCACCAACAGCCUUGAUUCCAGUUUUGACCAAAUUAGUGGUGUUUUUAGUUGCACCAUUGAUGGCAUUGAUGUCGAAAACAUUUGUUUGCAUCAACACAACUGUGCCCUUCACCUUUUGGCCUCUCUUAAGCAUACUUUUGAACCCUGAAUACAUCUUAAUUUGCUGCUUAAAUUUUUUUUUUUGCAAAUUAAUGAGAGAAAAGUUUGUGGCUGGCAAGAUGCAACCAUCUCAUUAUUUAUAGGGCCAAAAUUAAGCUUCUGAUUAAGAACAAAUAAUUUUUUUUUAAUUGAUUAAUUGAUCAUUGACAUCGUGCAAAAACUAUUAGUAAUAGGCUAAUCGUGGAAUAUAAAAUAAUGAUGUAUUUUAUUAUAGAAAGAAGAUAACAAUAUGUGUUACACAAUCAUAUUAUGACAAAUGGAUUUUUGAACUAUAGUUAAUUAGAUUCUAACGCGUACACCAAUAGUAAUAGGCUAAUCGUGCAAAAAUUAUUUCCUGAUACGAGGUCGUCUUUCUUUCCAUUGUUAAUAAUAUCCCUUCUCACAACUCACAUUCACAUACCGUAACCAUGGUUCAAUUUAAUAAUAUUAAUAAUAAGAGGAUGUACAAGAGUUAAUUAAACUAUGCAAGUGCAACUCCUAUAUGAUUUUAAGAUGAACAUAACUCAACUCUUACAAAUAUGAUUUGUAAGGUGAGGGGUUUCCCACUUAUAAUAAACUCAUUUUAUCUUCAUUUAAUAUAGAACUUUUACACUGCUCAUAUAUGUUUAAGAAUGGACGACAGGAGUGUGACUCGAGUUGUAUGAAAAUAGAUGAUCAAAUAGAUUUUAUUACGACUAUAAUACAUAAUGAAGGUUGUCCCCGUGAGCAUACUCAGUUGAUAGGGACAUACAUAAUUAUAUGCAGGGGUUGGGGUUUGAACCCAGACACCCCACUCAUUCACCUUGAAAAAGGUGAAUUCUAGCCACUAGAUUAAAAAAAAAAAAAUUAAGAAUUCAUUUUCAGGUAUAGUUUUAUCAUCAAGUGUGAAACUAUUAAUAUAUGCAAUGUUAAAAUAUAAAAUAAAUUUGUUUUUAUUUUUUAUCGCAAGAUUUAUCAUUAAACUUUAUUUAGUUGUUUUGACUCAUUCCUUUUUCUAUAUUUUAGCUGUUUUAGUUGAAUGUAGUUCCGUUAGAACUAAAAUUUAAGUUUUUUUUUUUUUUUUUUUUUGGAAAGUUCCAUGAAAAAGAAAUUAGUUUUUUUUUUUUCUUUUUUUCUAGUACUGCAAACUUUAAAAAUAUAAUUUUUCUGAAUGCUUUUGUAUGAAUGAAUUUUGAGGAGUGUUAGAAACACUCUCUUUUUAACACCUACAUUGAUAUUUAAUUUACUCUUUUAUUGAAUGAAUUCAUUGAUAUUUACUAUUUUAUUGAAUAAAUUAAAUGUGUAUUAUACAUUUUAAAAUGAGUUUCACAUAAAAUGGUGGAUUCCAUAGAUUUCGUCAAAUAAAAUAGUGGAUGUUAGAAAGAAUGUUCAACUCUAUGGUCUAUUCACUAAUAUUUUCACACCCCACAAAAUAUUUCUAAUACAAAAUAUUUUGUCAAGAUUGAAUAAACUUUCAAAAAAACUUGAGCUAAAUUUUCCAGAAGAAAAAACUGUUGAUUGGAAUACACGGGGAAUUUUUUUUUGGAAUUUUAGUCACGCUUCAAAUGUGGUUAAACUGCCGAAUUUGUAAAACGUAAUACUUGGAAAAAGAUUUCCAAAAUUUUAUCCAUAGUUGCUAAAAAUCCUGAGGAAAAUUCAAUGAAUCUGCCGUUUAGUAUCAUUUCAAGAAACUUUUAAUCAAUUGUAAAAAACUUUUACUUACCAGAAAUAUUUUGUCCGAGUUAAAGUCAAAUGACAAAAAGAUAAAAUUAACAAUAGAAUUUUUUAUAGUUUGUAGGGAGGAGAUGUAUGAAUGCAGGGGUAAAGAUUAAAGUGAAUUUUUAUUUAAACUAUAGAGCAAAAGCAAAAGCCCGCGACAUGUGCAAUGAGGCUAAGGCUUUGUAGAGCAAGAGUGAUUUUUUAUUUUUUCACAAGAGUUGUUAGGGCAAUGAGGACUACCCUACUCUUCCUACCCCACAAAGUAUAUAACAUGUCUAAUUUAUUUCCAACGACUUUAAAUUAUUGAGGAAUAGGAGUUUAGUCCUUUCAUCAUUUCAGUUUUUGGGAUCGAAAAAUUGAAAAAGUCAAAAUUUGAAUUUUUUUUUUAAUGUACUAGUUUUUCUAGUCCAUACGAAGAGAUACAUAUCAUGUGAAAUUCACACAUAAGACUGUAAGAUUAUAAGUUUGAAGCGGACAAAGAUGUUCAAACUAAAAAUAUUGAUAUUAGUCAUUGAAAUAGACCAUGCAGACAAGAAAAUAUUAGUUUUUGAAAGAAAGAAAAAACAAUGUUACGAGGAACUCAAAUUUUGAGUUUUUGAUAAAUUAAAAAAUUUGAAAAAAUGGGAGUAUUUGUUAACAUUUCCCUAUAAAUGAAAACGAUAAAACCAAACAUUUUAAAAGAAUAUAGUAGUAUGAUUUUGAGGGGUAGGUAGAAUAAUUCUUCUGGAGCGAUAAUGCUAUGAGAAGAGCAACCAAUUGCAUAUACUUGGAUAUGGUUUGGAAGGAGCACAUUUUCCAACUCAUUAAUUAUUUUAGAGAGUGACUAAUUUUUUUUUUUGUUAGACAUGGUUACACGUAAGUACAAGUUUAGUUAGGGGUGCCCUACUUUCGUGUGGUGAAUUCGAUGAUUUUUGACUUUGGAUCGCGUGUUCAAUUUCAUCAUUCUUGGAGAGAAUGAGACUUUUUAUCUUGCACAACUCUCGAGUCUCCUUCUAAUUAACUUUAUAAACUUAUUUUUGAUCAUAUCUUUGGGGCUUGCAUACUUAGAAGUGUUUGUUUUGAUUUGUAGUUUUUCUUUGGGCUUCGACCAUCUUUUGUACCAAAACAAGAGAUUACUUUUUGCGUCCAAUGAGUUUCUCACGCACCAUAUUUUUUUUUUAAUACCCUUUAGAUUCUAUAAUUCAAACAGCACUUCAGCUUAUAUAAUCUGAAAACUUGUAUUUCCAAUAUUUACUUAACAUCGCUGAUUUACAAAACAUCAUUGACAUAUACUAUUAAGAAAACAUAAUUGAAAAUGACCAAAAAUUGAAACAAAAAUGUAGAGACAUAAAAACGAAUUCAAAUUCUCAUUAUAUUAAUAGAUCAUAUCUUGAAAGUACAUUUACAUUAACAUCAAAGCAUAUUACGCAAAAUUAUUAAACAUCUAAUAUUAAACAUAUGGUGCAAGAAGAUCAUGUAGGGGUAAAAAGAAUAUGAUGGAGGGGGAAGGAGGUUGGAGUAAGGUUUUUUUUUUUUUUUUUUAGGAUGAAGGAUACUUUGAUGGUCAACCUUACACCUAAACAUAUCAAAUUUACAUCCAAACAUAUGGUACAAAUUUGCAUAGUGGCACCAUCUUCGUUGAUCGCUCAUACGAUCGCUAAAAUAAAAGAGUAACCUUUUUGUAUAAAAGGUCAACGAUGGAAGCAUAUUAAUUGUGGAAGAAAACAGAAGGAGAAAAUGUGAAGAAUGAGAAUUUGUGAAGGAUUGGUGGGUAUUUACAGGAGGAACUUGUGAAGGAUGAUGCAUAGAGUGUAUAAGACCAUUGAUUACGGUCAAAAAACGUGGUAAACCUGGUUCGACCGGUCAAUGAAACUGAUAUGACCAAAGAAAAACUUGUUCAAUGAGUUAGUCUUGCUGAGCUGAUUCGAACUCUGAACUAGUUCAUAUUAGGUAAUUUGAACUCAUCCCAGGAAUGUUAUUAUAUAAUCCGAACUAAUUUAAGAUUGUGUUAAAAUUCAUACCUUAUAGGGUGAGGGAGAGUUUAAAUUAUAAAUUAUAUAAUUCAAACCAGUUCAAUACAUGUUCUUUUUGUGAUCUACAUUGCACCAACAGUUUCCUUUUAUGUUUUUUUUCUUUUUCUGUGUUCUGGUGUUGUGCCUUAUUGGCCUUUUUUUCCAAAACUGUGACACCAAUUUUUUAGGGCGAGAAUAGAAUUUGAUUGAUUCUCUUCAUUAAAUUCAAUGGAUUUCAUAAAUUUCUAAUUUUAAGGUCACACGGCUAAUACAUAUAUAACACAAAGUGUCGUCAGAGUCUUUUGGCAUUGGUGUCAUACUAAUCUUGUUUGAAUUCUCUACUCCGAUUAUUUUCUAUUACUUUGAGAAUUCAUGAAGUCAUUCAUAGACCUAUUUAACACAUAAUUGAUGCCUGUGUUUUAUAUUUACACUUUAUUAAAACUGUUGUAAAAGAAAAAAAAAACAGACAUAAUCAUAUUUUCGUUUUAUAGUUACGGUUUGCAAGCAUGAAUUCUCACCUCCGUUGAUCUCUUUAAAUUAAUUCGAAGCUUCAAUUCAAAGUGGGUAGAAGAAAUUGUAAACAGAGCAAGAGGUUUAGCUUGGAAUUCAGAAAAAAGUCUUGAAGCUUCACCCUUUCAUCAAUUCUUGAUUUUUUCUUCAAUUUGAUUAAGGGGGAUUACCACUAAAUGACUGUUUUAUCUUUAUCUAUUUUAUGAGCAUGUUGUUGCUUUAUGAAAUUUUUAGAGAUUCUUAGUUUAUGCAAUCUAUUUUAUGUGUUUCUGUCAAUCGCACUUUUGCUGCUGCGUAUUUAUCUGGUUUUGUGUUUGUGUCAGUUUCUGCAUAAUAUCUGCAUUCGUUUAGGUUUCCUUGUAGUUUCUUGUUUAAUGCAAUUACUACAUAAUUGCAUUUCUAUUUUUCAUGUUUCAUUAGUUAAUGUUAUUGCUCUUUUUAGAUUUUAUUUCUGCAUAAUACAUUCUUUAAUGAUUUCUACUUGGCUACUGGUUAGAACUAACAAUUAAAAAUAAAAGAUCUUAAAUAAGGGCAGGUCUUUAAAAAAUACCAUUAUAAUUUUCAACGUAACAUGCUUCUCUAUUUUACAUCUCUUUGUUAUAUAUAUUCAAAUUGGUGAGGUAUUUGAGAUUCUAGAGGGUGAUAAAUGCCUUCCUGAAGAACAAUUGCAAAGCUUAUAAAUGCCUUCCUGAAGAACAAUUACAUCUCCAAAUGUGGUCUUCCUGGAAACUCAGGUGGCAGACAAAUUAAAUCUUGUUCUGGUUUUGCUUGCAUGCAAUGUAAAUUUGAAUCCCUCUAAUAUCUCUUUUGUUUAGAACCUUCUCCUUAUGUCUAUGGUUUUUUUUUUUUUUUAAAUUUAUAAAGAUGAGCAUAUUUCUUAUUCAAAUUUACUAAUUUAGAGAAGGGUUCAUUGGAUUUGAAACUUGUUAUCAUACUUAUGCAUAUGUCAUCUUCAUUUAUUUGUGUGGAUUUACAGGGUUGUAUAUGGAUUUGUUAUGUUUGCAACUUAUUUUCUUUUAUUUUCAAUAGGCUACAUAUGCUUCUUGUACAGUUUCUUUGGAAACAAAUAGGUGAUGGAAAGAAAUGGGAGCUGCAGAGAAGAACCGAUCGAUGGCGGAAUUUUCAUGGAAAUAUAUGUGCUCUACCUAAUGGUCAGUGUAACAACUUGAAGGCACCAUGAUUUCUAGUCAUAGUUUAAAAUUGUUUGAUGUAAAAGGUCGAAACUAAAGCAUUAAGGUAAAAUAUAAUUCACUUUAACUGUUAUUACUUUUUGGGUAUUAACAGCAUUGCAACUGUUAUAUAAUCUUAGGAAAUCAAUAUUGUACAUUACUUUUUCAGCACUAUCAUCUUUUUAUCAUGCCAUAUCGCACUACUAGGUUUGCACAAACCUUGGGGUCAUUAAUUCAUUUUUUCCAAACUUAAACUAAUGCAUUUCAUUAUCAUAUCACAUGUAUUACACAUACAAGAGGUAAACACAUCUUAAGAACUUCUUAUUGAUGUAUAGUAAAACAUAAAAGCAAGCAAACAAACAAACAUACAUAAUAACAAGACCAUGACGAUGAGGGAAUUUGACAACUUCACACAUUUUAUUCAGAGCAAAGCAACAUACCAUCAAAUUCUUUAGAUGGAGAUACUAUUAGGAAUGCCUCUGCAAGUCAAUCCUUUCUCACUAGAAGGAUAAAGCAGAGUGUAUGGCAUAUUCACAGGCCCGUAUCGGUUUCUCAAUGACUCAUCAUUGUUCCUUUCAAUGAGCUUUACCUCAAUUUCAGCCAACUUCCUUCCAAACCUCUUGAAAGCUUCUAAUGGCUGUGAAUCUGAAGUCCAAACCUCGCCUUCAUUUCUCUGUCCAAGGUAUUGCUCAUCAGAAGCAUGCCUUGAUAAGACCUCUAAGAUCGUAAGGUCAGUGAGGGUAUCAUUUUUUGGUGUGAUUGUCCUUAGAUACACCUUUUGAAAGUUCUUAGAAAGCUCGGCAUACUCAGCAGACCCUUUCUCAGGCAUGUGUCUCCGGCUUUUAGUUGGUCGGUUAAGUAUAUAUCCUCCAUAUGGAUAUUGACCAAAAUUAACAGCUGCAUGAUGUGCUGAAGCAAUCCAUAUGAGGAUAGUGCAAGCUUCAAUCAACUCUGUACAAGUUUGCAUCUUAAACCACCAUGUAGCAUUCUUCAAAUCACCAUGACCCACCUCUACAACUUCUCUCCAAAAUGCUUGCAGUUCAGAAUCUUGCGCAACAGCAGCAUCUGACGUGUAGUAGAAACUCACAUAUUCUUCAACCCAUGACUUGAUAGCAUCCCAUAUCUCUAGUCCAUCAGCAGCAUAAGGGUAGUCCUCUAUCAGAAGGCGAAUUCCAUGUGGGGAAGUUGGAUCCUCAACAGCCACUCCUCUAGAUAACAAGCAAGGAAGAUAUCAUUAAUAUAAAAAAUUAAAAAGCUUGAGAUCAGUAUCUAUUUAACCAAGAUUUUAAAUUGGUUGUAGUAUGAUCUUAGUUAUUCUAGCGAAACGCGGUAAAAUACAGUUGAUGUGGCCUCAACCAACGGUGUUUGGACAUAAAAAAACCUUGAUUUCUCGUCUUACAUUGUGGUUACUAACAUUUUUUCCAAUCCUUUUUUUUUACUAAUUAAUUUAUGUGCAGGAUCUAAUAUUUUGUAAGGUUACCUUUUCAGUAAAUCAUUAGGAAGACCGUGCUCUAUGAAAACCCAAUCCUUAUAUAAUAGAGCAGACAAUUCUAAAGAAUAACGUCCCAUCAAGAAUGUCGAUUCUAUAAUACCCUCUGCAUUAACCAAGACAUUCCUUGCAAGUGCAUUAAUGUUCAUUGUGUCACGAUAAUGUGGAAGUAGAAGUUUGUGAAUAGGGUGAACCACACUAAGAUGCCUAUUUGUUGCUAUGAUGAAUGGCUCAACAACAGCAUGAGUGUUCAACCUGUUACACAUGUAGAUAUUAAUGAAUUACUCAUAGAUUGAUGAAAUUAAAUACGUUUGAUUCUAGAAAAACUCAUCAACAUAAUUCGUACCAGUGGCUGACAAGUUGAUGAAAACAGGAGUCAUUUACAACAACGUAAGCUUUGGCAAGUAGCCAAAUAGAAGCUUCAACACCUUCACUUGCAGGCAAGUAAACAUUACUAACAGGACCAUAACUAUCUUCUUGAGGAUGUGGCUUACUUAGCUCAAUGGCCAAUGGCUUCAAAGUUCCAUCAUUUUGUAAGAAAAUGAAGGUUCUCGUAGCAUAUGCCUUUGUAUCAGUUGAGUUUAUUUUCCUCAAAUAUGGAAAUAUUGGGUCAUGGUGAUCAAGUAUGUAAAGCCUGUUGUUUUGGAUAGCCUAUUCAAAAAAAUAUAAUUUAGUCAUUGUAAUUAUUUGAAUCAUAAAUAACCACAAAAUAACAUUGGCAAAGAUGUAUAUUCAUGGUAUUAAUGUUAAACUAUGUCAUUACUUCUUCUACAGUGACCCCAUCCAUGUUUAGCUGUAACUGUUCUUCGGUUAUUGUGCUCGUAUUAUCACCGUAGAGUUGGGUAUCUAGCUUGCUCUUUGGUGGGAACUCCUACAAUAAAUAUAGAAAGUAAUAAUGAAGUUAACAAUUAAAAAUAGGAAAAUGUUAUUUCUAGCGAAGGAAAUAUGGCUGCUCCUAAUUCUUGAAGAUUUCGUGAUGCUAUCUUUCGGGAAAUAUGGUCAAAAUAAAAAUUAAAUUUUCUGUUCGCAAAGAAAUCGUUAAACUAUCAAGUUUACCUGAAGUCUUUUGAUUAUGUGUGGAUUCACACCAGCAAUCAUCUCCCUUGCAAAUUCUCCAUCAGUCAUCCAUGCAGACUGAUUAACUGCUCAAAAUAAGAGCAUUUCAAAUGAUCCGUGAUAUUUUUAUUUAUUCUAUGAAAAUAUAUUGCUAGGACUGAACAUGUGUUUCUAAUAGAUACCUUCAACCACUUUAGGUCGUGGAAACUUUAGGGCCGAUUCACCAUCAGUUCUGAGGAGUUCCUGGAACACUGGUAUGGGGCUAAUUUUGCUAAGUGCAUUAGUAGGUAAUUCAAUUCCACCAUGAUAUAAUGAACGGACAUCUUCAAAAGUGUUAAACUCUGGCUGAUUGAAUUGUAAUGUAAGUGCAGAUCGUAAUUGAGGUAUAACAUUUUGAGAUGCUGAUUUCAGUAUAUAAACAAGAAAGUCUGAAGACUUCAAGUGGCCAAAUGAUUCAUCUCUUGGAAUGUAAACAAAGUCGCUCCGACUCUCACUUUUAUCAUCUGUAACAUACAAAUAGAAGACAUUAGCAACAAGAUCAAUAUCUUUAAAAUCAUAUAGAGGAAAUGUUUUGAUCAUAGGACCUUUAACUUAAGAUAGAGCAUAAAGUUUAUCACCUUUUUUAGCAUGUUUCCUGCCGGUUCUCCCCCUUCGAGGGUAAGGCAAGUUAUUGGAUCCUCCAACAACGGGACGAGCCAAGCUUUCUUUCUUGUCAGGAUCACCCAAGUCAUUGUAAACAUCGUAGUCAUAGAUCCUAUCCGAUUCUUUGCGCUCACCCGUUCCAUCUCCUCUUAAAGUCUUCAAUUCUUCUUGUCUGUAGUAGACUAAUGGAGCUGGUGUUUCGCUUGGAAGGUACGUCUAUAUUUAUAUUUAUUUAUCGGUGUCAAAUUUUGAGAAAUAUAAUUUGUAUUAGCAUGUUAAAGAAAUAUGAUUUUUUUUCAUUACCUUGUUCGUAAAGAAGAUGCGUUUCGUUUUAUACUUUUUAGCAUUGUAAAUCCAUGAGUUGCAAACAAAGUUGAUGGUUCCAUGGAUGGGAAUAUCUUCAAGCGUCAAACUUACAAGGAAGAAUUCUCCUAGCAUGAAAUUUUCAAUAUAAAAUGCUCCUGGAAUUCCCAUCUCACUGUCCCAUUCAAAAUGAACAUCAAAUGCAGAUUGCCCUGCUCCCAAAAUUGGUAUGGAGGUAACAAGACCUUCUAAAUAUGUUUUUUUUCCCACUUUACCUUUUCCACUUCCUACAAAUAUGUCAUAAUGCUUAAUUUAUGUCAAUAUAAACAACUUAAUCUUUUCUUAUGCUAAGUGCUAAAUUUAUGUUCACCCAAGUUGCUUAGAUUAUAUCAAAGUGAAAUAAUUCCUAAUUUCCUACAUAUAUUUUAGUAAUAGUUGAUUUAUUAUUUAAAAUAAGUUACGUCAAAGUGAUAAUCACAAAAAUAAAAAUAAAAAUUUAUAAUAAAACAAAAGGGAAAAUAAAUUGAAUCUUAAUGGACUCAGGAUCAAAUUCUUGUAAAAAUUAAAAUAUAAAGACAAUUUUCAUUUGGAUCCUUUGUAAAGCCAUUCAUUUAAAAACGAUAAACUUUGAAACUUAUAUCACCUGCAGAUUUAAAAAAUGGUGAGGCCUAGGUUGCCUUUGAAAACUCAUGGGCAAUUUACCUAAACCAAUCAAAAGUUUUCAUGUGUACUCCAUUAGAAUAAUAACAUUUAUUAUUUUAUUUUGCAAAAAUUUAGCAAGUAUUUUAUUAUUUGCAUAUUCACCCCAUCUUAAAUUAAUGAUUUUUUACAAUUUAAACCAUCACAAUAAUUAAAUUUCACCUCUAAUUCAAUCACUCUCCAAACCUCUUUUUUAGCUUGGCAAAAAUCAUUAAAAAUUAAAAUUAUCACCCCUGAGAAUCAAACCUGGAUGCUCCCACCUAUUUAAAAUGUACUCUGGAACCACUUGAUCAAUACAUUUUUUAUGAAAUAAUUUGGAAUUCAAAAUUAUGUUAUUAGUGAGCAAAUUAUUUUAUUUUUAUUUGCAGUGCCUUUAUAACCUAGCUUUAGUGAGAAAAAAAAAUCAUUUUAUGUGUGUAUAAUUAUGAAGUAGUAAAUUUUUCUUAAGAAAAAUGAAUUCAUUCAAUUGAUUUUUUAUAUUUUAAAUUUCAUUCUUUUUUAUAAAUUCAUACUUUUAUAUAGAUUCGAUGACCUACGACAAUGUUUCAUUUGUGAUCCACCGAAUUAUGAUUUAUUUUAGGUACUAUUUUUCAUUUGGAUCAGAUAAAUUGUUUAAAGGUAAUAAUUUUUUUUUUUGCAAGGUCUUAUAAGUUAUAACCUAGCUUUAGUAAAAAAAAUCAUUUUAUAUGUGUAUAUUUAUGAAAUAGUAAAUCUUUCUUAAAAAAAAUAAUUCAUUCAAUUGAUUUUUUAUAUUUUAAAUAUCAUUCUUUUAUAUAAAUUUAUAAUUUUAUAUAGAUUCGAUGAACUACAACAUUGUUUCAUUUGUGAUCAAACGAAUUAUGAUUUAUUUUAGGUACUAUCUUUCAUUUUGAUCAGAUAAAUUGUUCAAAGGUAUUAUUAUUAUUAUUUUUUUUGCAGUGUCUUAUAAGUUAUAACCCAGCUUUAGUAUAAAAAAAAUAAAUCAUUUUAUAUGUGUAUAUUUAUGAAAUAGUAAAUAUUUCUUAAAAAAAAAAAAAUGAAUUCAUUCAAUUGAUUUUUUUUAUAUUUUAAAUAUCAUCCUUUUAUAUAAAUUCAUACUUUUAUAUAGAUUCGAUGACUGAUGGGAUAAAACCGCAAGUGCACGAUUCUACCAGAAUUCAGGGCAUUACAAACGCAACAUGUGGCAUAAAAACAUUACUUUAUAUGUAUAUACUAUUGAUUUUCCUGUUCAUUUAAAAUAUUUUAUUUGCUUAAUUGCACUUUUGGACCCCUAUCUUUUCAAAAGUUGCGGUUAUGGAUCCCUAACUAAUUUAAAUACAAAACAGUCCCCUAUGUUUUGAUUCUUUAGCAGUUUUGGACCCCCAAGGCAAAAAAAAAAAAAUUUGACAAGUGGCACCUCACUUAGGGUGCCACGUCAGCGUUGACCGAGUCAACAAUGAAUUGGGGUCCAAAAUUGGCAAAAAAUCAGAACAUAGGGGGCUGUUUUGUAUUUAAAUUAGUUAGGGGUCCAUAAUCGCAACUUUUGAAAAGAUAGGGGUCCAAAAGUGCAAUUAAGCCUAUUUUAUUUACUAUUUUAUCCUUUAAUAAUAUUAUAUUAAAUUUGAAUUAGAAAAAUGAAAUCUCAUUAAAAUAGGAAAUAUACCACUACAACAGGAACAAUACUAUAUAUACUUUUUUUUUUUUUUUUUACAAAAUACUAUAUAUACUAUAUAUGAAGGGAAUAGAGACUUUGGGCUGAAUUUUUUAUAAUUUCAAUUAUACCCUUUAAACAAAUUUUCCUAUAUUAAUGUUCCAUUCUUGGUGGUAUUAAAAAAAGAUAAGAAUUUAUAUUAUAUUUGUUAAACUACUGUGUUGUUGUGGUAAAAGAUAAACAUGAUUUUUUUGGGUUUGUUACAAUUUUAAUUUCACAAAUAUUUGUACUUAUAAUUUUAAUCAAAAUCAAAAUUUCAUAUAAAAUACCGUUCAUAAUUUACACAUGUCACGUGCCCGUUUUUUCGCUAGUUAUAUAUAGUAUUUAUACUAUAUAUAAAGAAAACUAUCUCUUUCAGCACUUUUGGACAGGAUUUUUCUUUCCAAAAAUACCCUUAAUUUUUAAUACAAACAACACAUGUAACAAAUAAAUAAGAAUAAAUUUAAAUAUUAAAACAAAUGUAACAAACACGAUAUGUGUGUUUGGUUUUUUUCCUUUAUCAUUUAAAAAGUGUAACAAACUAUAUGAGUAUAUUUAAUAUUUGCUUUUUUUAUUAUCCCAAUUAUACCAUUAAAACAAAAUCCAUAAUCAUCAAUCAACAACAAGAAGAUCCAACAUUUUAAAAAAUAAAUAGAUAAAUUUAAAGGAAUUUUUUUAAGAUUCUUAUGUUGUUACAUAAUAUUUGGACAAGAUUCUAAUUCUCAUUAAUCUUUUCUCCCACGUCAAGAAUAUCUCUUUGCUUCUUCUGAUUCAUAUUCAUUCAUUCCUUAUUAUUCUAAUUUUUAACUCAAUUCAUCUUCCUAUAGAUUUGCAUCGUUUUUGCUGAACCAAGAAGGACUGUUAAGUAGAAGAAUUCCAGAAUCAUAGAUGUAAUCACAAUAGUUCUCAAUGACAAUGCUUAAAAAAAAUUGAUUUUUUUCCCAAUCUAUCUCUCUCAAUCCCGAUCUACUCUCUAUCCCCUUAAACCCUUUUUUCCUAAACUAUUCCUUACCUCUCAUGCUCUCUCUUCUCCAUCGGAUACCAUUUCCCCUUCUAUCAUCUUCAUUGCAUUCUCCUCUUUCUCUUUCAUUUUUGACUUCUCAAUAAAAAAUCAAUCGCAGCUUCAAUUUUUUAUUGUCGAAUUCGAAUUCGAAUUUGGGGUGCGUGGGUUCGAUUGAGAGAGAUAGGGAUCGAGAUGAUGGAUAUAUAGACAACGGUGUUGAUGGUGGUUUUGAAAAAGAGGUUUUGAUGGUGGUUAUCUGGAUUUUCUCUGGAUUUUUUUUUAUGAAGGUGAUGAAUGAGGGAAAGAAAGAAGAUGAAGUAUGGGAUAUAAUGCUAGAUGUUGUUGGUUCACAGUAAGAUACAGUGGACAUGCAUGAUCUAACAAUCUUUCUUUAUUAAAAAAGAUCAAACGGUUUAUAUUAAAAAAAAUAAUAGGAUCUAUAGUGGACCAGGGGGUUCACCAUAGAUAUUUGAGGUUAAAGUUAAUUUAUUUGCAAACUGUGGGAAAAGUGAAGGACUAAAACGUGAGUUUUAUUAAUUGUGAGACCAAAAUAAAACCAAAGAAUUAAAUAAGCCUUUUUUUUUACUAAAGCUAAGUUAUAACUUAUAAGACAUUGCAAAAAAAAAAAAUUAAUACCUUUAAACAAUUUAUCUGAUCCAAAUGAAAAAUAUUAUCUAAAAUAAAUCAUAAUUUGGUUGAUCACAAAUGAAACAUUGUUGUAGUUCAUCGAAUCUAUAUAAAAGUAUGAAUUUAUAUAAAAGAAAGAUAUUUACAAUAUAAAAAAUCAAUUGAAUGAAUUUAUUAUUAUUUUUUAAGAAAGAUUUACUAUUUCAUAAAUAUACACACAUAAAAUGAUUAUUAUUAUUUUUACUAAAGUUAAAUUAUAAGUCACUGCAAAAAAAAAAAUAAAAAAAAUUGCUCACUAAUAACAUAUUUUUGCAUUCCAAUUUAAUUCAUAAAAAAUGUAUUGGUCAAGUGGUUUGGGAAAACAUUUCAAAUAAGUGGGUGCAUUUAAGUUCGAUUCCCACGAGUGAUAAUUUUAAUUUUUAAUGAUUUUUGCCAAAUUGUUCAACUAAAUUUGAAUGAAUGCAUGAUCUUUGGCAUUAAAUUCCAAAUUUGAUAAAAAAAAAAGAGAGUGAUUGGAUUAGAGGAGAAAUUUAAUUAUUGUGAUGGUUUAAAUUGUAAAAAAUCAUUAAUUUAAGAUGGGGUGAAUAUGCAAAUAAUAAAAUACAUGCUAAAUUUGUGCAAAAUAAAAUAAUAAAUAUUAUUAUUCUAAUGGAGUACAAAUGGAAAAUUUUGAUUGGUUUGGGUAAAUUGUCCAUGAGUUUUUAAAGGUAAUUUAGAAAAAACCUUAAAAAAUUGGUCUGUUACUUGUUUAGCGUACAAUUUAGCGACCGAUUUCAAAGUUUGGUAAAAUGCAAAGUUCACUAAAAUUGUGAAAAUGCUACCACGUUUUUUUCCCCCUCAUCUCAAUUAUCUACUGAUGUGAAAUGUUAUAUGUUAUUAGGAAUUCUCUCAGGUACUUAUGGGUCUGUUUGGUUAACCCCAAAAAAGAGCUUUUAGCUUCUAGCUUAUAGCUUAUAAGCUCGUUUGAUAAAAAAAACUCUGUUUGGUAACACUUUUUUACCAUGAGCUUAUAGCUUAUUUCACGAGCUUAUAAGCUAUUUUUCAGAAGCUAUUCCAAGUAGCGUUUGAGCUUAUAGCUUAUAGCUUCUCACUUUUUCUUCCAAUUUUACCCUUAUUAUUUCAUUUAAAUUGUAUUUUUAUCCAUUAUAAUUUUUAUAAUAAGCUACGUAAUAAAGACUACUAUCCCUUUAUUCCAAUUUUUGUAUAUAUAUCAGCUGGCCUUUUUUUUUUUUUUUGAAAAAAUAUAUACCUUCGUUUUUUUUUUACGAAACAAAAUAUUAUUAUUCUAUUAGUGUUACUUUUUUUUUUUUUUUGAGAUAAGUGUUAUUUUCUUUAUUCUCUGUUAUUAUUAUUACUCUAUUAGUGCUACUUUUUUUUUUUGUUUUUGAGGUAAAUGUUAUUUUUUUUAUAAAGUGGAAACACUUAAAUGAUAAUAAAUAUAAGAUAAAAUUUUAGUGAAUAAAAUUUAAUUUAAUUUAUAAUACAUAGGAUAUAUUAAAUUAAUAAAUUUAAAGUAUUUUUUUAAAGAAAAAUUAGUUUACAAAAUUACAAAUACUUAAAUUAAUGAUAUAAUUUUUAUUAUGAAUUAAGAAUACCCUUUAUGUCAUUUUACAUUUAUCAGCUAGUUGAACCGCUAUUUUUACCAAACACUUCAGUUAGCUUAUCAGCUAUAAGCUAUCAGCUAGCUUAUCAGCUAAAAGCUAUCAGCUAACUUAUCAAUUAUCCGCUAUUUUUACUAAACAGAGCCUAUGUCCACCGAUGUGAAAGGCAAACCAAAGUUUACUAAAAUUUCAAAAUUGUCACUGUGUGCAUCUUUCCCAUUAGGUAUUUUCUGUGCCGAUGUGAAAACCCCUGUUGUAAGAUGUAUAUUUUCUAGUAGUGGUUAUGCCAGCUUGUAGCCUUAGAUCUCUCCAAGGAAGAAAAAAGCUACUAAAAAAACUUGAAUUAGUAAGAAGAACUUUAGAGGAAAAAAAUCUCCCUAAAUUUAGUGACCAAAGUAUAGGGAAAAAAAAUAUUUUUCCAUCACUAAUUUUCGUCCCAAUUUUAUUUGUUUUAUUUUUAUAGUGAAAAUUCUACCUCAUAUAUUAACAAAAGAAUAAAGUUUAAAGGAUCAUCAAAUCAUCAGCACAUUAUAUCUUCACCUAAAAUCAUAAGACACUUACUAUAUGAAUCACUUUUUAUAUGGCAUUUGUUAAGAUAGACUCAUUUAAUUUUUAGAAGUACUACUUUAACAAGUUAAAACUAAAAUAAUAUAUAAAACAAGGGUUUAAGUUAGCAACUUUUGCAGGCAUUUGUUAGAAUAUAUUCACUCAUUUUUUUAAGGGACAUCCACUCAUUUUUUUUUUAGAAGGACUAUAUGUUAGAAGUGAUAAUGAAAAAUUUGUUAAUUAUACACACAGUAAGGUGCAUGUUGCUAAAAUACUCCAAAAAGCUUCCCCCAAACACAUAUUUCAAGGUGCAAAGUUCAAAUUCUUUUAGGAGAGUUGUAAAAUGAUCAUUAGUGUCGAGUAGUAGUAUGAAAGAUUAAGAAGUAAUUACCAUCAACAUUGGUAGCACUAAUCAACCUGAGAGCCACUGAACGGCCAAAGGAGGAAGUGUAGGUAUCAAUUAUAGAGCUAGUGAUAUCACCAACAACAUUGAAUCCACCUUUGAUUAAACCAGUGGCACUUUGAGCUGCAGUGAUUUCGUUGAUAUCCAAUACAUUCUUAUGCAUCAAUAUCACUGUCCCCUUCACCUUUUGGCCUCUGUUAAAGAUACUUUUCACCCCUGAAUACAUCUUAGUAAUUUACUGCUUUUAAUUUUGUAUUCUUUUGCAAAUUAAUGAAAGAAAAGUUUGUGGUUUGCAUGUUGCAACCAUCUCAUUAUUUAUAGGGCCAAAUUAAUGUUCUGAUUCAAAACUAUAUUAUUUUUUUAGAGACUGAUUCAAAUCAUAUGAGUCAAUGUUCUUUCCAUAUUUUAUCCUCAUCCAAAAUAAUUGAUCUACUUGUAAAAAAAAAACAUUUACCAAAAUAAUUUAUCUUUUUCAAUUUGCAUGCAACAUUAACGACUUCUUUUCUACUGUACAAUGGAAUUAAUAUCAUCAAUUUCAACUCAAUAUCUUCAAUUUUUUAUAUAUAUGGUAAAAGUUAAUACAUGAUAAAAGUACUUCAUUAAAAGCAAUCUUCUCUUUACUUUUAACAUAGGUGCAGUUUUUUUUUUUGAAUGAACAUAGGUGCAGUGUUAAAAAAAAAUGGAGUAUUCCUUAAACGAAUUAGUUGUCUUUUUUUAUGUGACUAAAAUGAAGUCGUCUUUGUUUAAACAUACUCUUCUCACAGAAGAUAACCAUGGUUCAGUGCAAUAAUAAUAAUAAUAAUAAUAAUAUUAGCAAGAGGACGUUGAGGACUAUAAUUUGAGAGGUAGGUAGGCGAAUUUACCGGGGCAAUAAUGCAAUGAGAAGAGCACCCAAUUGCAGUGCUUGGCCCCAAAGAUGUUCAAAACUAGACUAUUAGUGUGUGAAGAGAAAAACAAAAGAAGAAAAACAUGAUUUCUCAGUAUGUCCAGUUAUAUUCAAAUUUGUUAUAAUACAAUGUCAAUUGUUGAUUGAAACUAGAGAUUAGUUCAGGUAGCAGAUGAUGUCCUCGAUUAUGAUUCUCUUUCUUUGCACGAUUGACGUUGAGGAAAGAAUUUUCUCCCUCAGCUACGGGUUCCUGAAAUUAUUUAGUAAAAUGUUAAAUAGAGUUGUGUUUUUGGCCAAGAAGUGUAUGUAAACUAAGAUAAAGAGAUAAUGAUAAAUGGAUAAAUUAGCGAAAAAAAUAGCUUGUGUUUGAUUGUGUGUUGACUGUUAACUCGGUCUAAAGUCUUCAAGGUUGAUGUACUAGCCAAUAGACUCGAGAAAGAAUCGACCAACCCUCUUUCGGCUAAAAUAACACUUGCAUAACCUUCUAUCGGCUCGGAAAAUUCUCCCAACCAAAUGUCAUUUUGUGUUGCGUUAUCACUUGAAUUUCGAGUGAUGAGAUGACGCAACGUAAUUGAAAUGGUUACGAACAAUAUCAUCAUUACGUCAUAAAAGUAGAAAAGUAGUCGUUGGGAUGAAUCAAUUUGAGAUCUUUUGUGUAAAAGUAUUUCAUUACUCUCAUUUUUUUUUGGGUAUAAUUACUCUCAUUUUAACGUCUUCUACUUAUAUAUAUGAUUAAAUUUUGAUACAUUAAUAUGAGAAGAGUACUUUAUUAAAAAUAAUUUUAUCUCUCUUUCAUUUAUACAUUGUUCUUCAUCCAUGUGAAUUAGUUAACUAAAUCGGUUAUUUAUGAGGGAGAGAGUAUUUUUCUUUUGAACUAUAAUAUUUAUUUUGUGUAAACCUUCUGAUUUUGGGAAAAUAAACCGCUUUUUUUUUUUUAAAUAAAACUCUAAACUCCAGUUUUCAGUACGUAGGUAAGUUUGAAAUCAUCAAUUGAUCAUUGACAUGCAAAAACUAUUAGCAUGAGGCUAAGCGUGGCAGAUAAAAUAACAAUGAAUUUGUUUAAAAAACAGUAAUAAAGUACUGAAGGUAAAAUACUUUAUCAUAAAAAAAUAUAAUAAUAAUAUAUGUUGAUUGAUCAUAUUUUGACAAAUAGAUCUAUUGAGCUAUUGUUAAUUACAUUCUUACGUGUAUACAAAUAAAAAUAUUCCCUGUACGAGGUUGUCUUUUUUGUUUUUGAUUUUGAUGGUACGAGGUCGUCUUUCUUUCUUUUGUUUAAACAUACUACUUUUCUCACAUAAGGUAACCAUGGUUCAAUGUAAUAAUAUCAAUAAUUGUACAAGAGUUAAUUUAACCGUGCGAUUAUUGCACAUUACGAUGCUCUCCAUUUUCAAUUGUCACUAUUUACUUGUUAACAAAAUUAAAAAUAGUAGAAGUAGGACUAUACUAGAUUCAAUAAUAUUUUAACUUUUAAAAAAUUAAAUUCAUUAGUUUUGACCGUUUCCUAAUACAAUAUAUUGAUAAAUCCUUAAUCAAUGUCUUAAAUACACUUUUUAGUAUUUUUCUUAAAUUAAAUAGUAGGUCAUAUCAGAUUUUUAAAAUGUCACAUUCAAACCUAAAUAAUAAACCUACGACACGCCACAUGCUAGACAUUGAUCUUAAAAAUUUUGGUAGAUUAGACUUAGAUUUUGCAAAAUUUAGUUCGGCCUAACCUAUUAUAUUUUGAAGAUUGCUCUAAUCCAUGUCCUAAUUAUUCAUCCCAUUAAUUCAGCUGUUCAAUAUUUUUCAACGGCAAUUACUGCUACGGGCAUUUUUAAGACCAGUUCAUUUACUUUUUAAAUUGUUUUAAUAGCAAUUUUCAUUAUUAUAUGUACCCCAUAUACGCUUCCCAUGACGUCCAACGCUGACAGCAGCAUGCAAGUGCACUUCACGUGAUCUUGUUCCUUAUUGCAUAGUUAGUUUUUUAUUUUCUAAUUUUACUAUACCGAACUCUAACAUUUUCACACUCAAAGUUCUUGCCCUGUCUCCCGUUUUUUUCUUUUCUUUUUUUAACAAAAACAACUUAUAUAUUUUCAUUCAUCAAAUCAAAUUGAAAGUAAUACAAGAUGGAAUUAAAUAAAAGAUAUGAUGCCGAAUAUACAUAGAUGUGAUAUAAGAUAGAAUAACGAGCAUAUAAUUAUAACACUUAAUAAUAUAUGAGUGACAUAAUUUGUUUGUGUUCAAGCUAAACUCAUCUUAAAGUUUUGAAACUGUUCUACUAAUAAUUUAACUGUGCGAUUGCGCAUUACGAUGCCCUCCAUUUUCAAUUGUGACUAUUUCCUUCAUCGCUCAUAUGAAUUAGCUGUUAAAAGGUAGGUCGUAUCAGACUUUCAAAAUGUCAUAUUUAAACCUAAAAAAUAAAUUUAUGAUAGACCGCAUGCUAGAUACAGGCCUUAAAUUUUUUAACAGAUUAUCCUUAAGUCUUGCAAAAUUUAGUUCGACCUGCCUAUUUCAAAAAUUGCUCAAAUCUAUUUCAUAAUUGUUCAUUCGCUUAAUUCAUUGGAAGUUAACUGUUGCUCGAUAUUUUUCAGCGGCAGUUCAGAUCGGUUUAUUCAUUUUUUAAGUUGAUGUAAAUAGAAAUAUGUACCCCAUAUUCGCUUCCCAUGACGUCCAAUGCUGAUAGAAGCAGCAUGCAAGUGCAAGUGUAUUAUAUUACCGUAUAGUCGCUUGAAAUGAAACCACACACUUCACGUGAUCUUAUUCUUUAUUGCAUUCGUUUUUUCUUCACUAAUUUUACUAUCCCAAAACUCUAACCUUUUCACACUCAAAGUUCUUGCCCUCUCUCCCUCUUUUUUGUUUGACCAAAAGCAACUUAUAUUUUUUCAUUCAUCAAAUCAAAUUGAAAGUAAUAUAAGAUAAAAUUAAAUAAAAGAUAUGAUAACAAGCAUACGAUUUUAACACCCUUAAUAAUAUAUGAGUGACAUAAUUUGUUUGUGUUCUUGCCAAAUUUAUCUUAAAGUUUGGAAAUUGUUCUACUUAUAUCUACAAUUGGACAAAAUACCGUCAAACUUCGAUUGAUUGCUAGAAUUAUCCAUGAUGUCUUCUGCCACUAACUUACAAUCUAGUUCAAUUUUCACGGUUGAUAAUCCUAAUUCUCGAACAUUCAUAGUGAUAUGUCCGGUGAAGAUGAGAUAAAUAUGGGGGUGGUUCUCUCCGGGAACUGCAUUUGUUCUCCGGAAAUUUUUCUUUAAGUUGUAAAUAGAUCAUUUAAGUUGUAUAUUUAUCGCACUCUUAUCCUUUUAAAGAUUUGUUUGAAACUUAAAAACUUAAAAAACUUCAUAUAGGUGUAUUAAAUUAACAAUUUAAAAGAUCUAUUUGAAUUUUUUAAAAAAAAAAAAACAAAAAAACUUAAAGGACAUAUUUAAACCUUAAAAAACUUAACUGAUCAACCUAAUAUUUUUGUCAAACUCAUAAAAAAGCGUUCAUGGCAUACGGUGUUUUCCUUCCAUAAAAAUAAAAAAUAAAAAAUAUCUGAAUGUAUUUUUGUUUUACAAAACUCACAUGGCAUGUUGUAGGAGAUUUGAGAUGUGUGUGGGGGUGGGUGUAAAAUUCCAUAAACCUGAUAAAUCAAAAUUGUUAAAAGUGAGAGUAAAUUGGAAUGGAAAAUUUAAAAAUUGUGGAAGUGGGGAACCACGUAAAAAUAAACUUUUCCAACUUAAACCAUAUGAUAAUUUCUUAAUCUGUCCUCUCAUGUUAUCAGCAGUACGCUUUUAAUAGUGUUUUAUAUUUGAAAUAUACUGCCAGAAAUACAUUUAUGAUAAUAUAAAUUGAUAGAUUUAAGCAAUAUAAGAAGAUUCAUAAAUUAUCAAAACAUGCGCAAUGCUAAAGCCCACAACAUGCAGAUGCACAAAGGAGGAUUCGAUUUGUAGUGCAAAGUUGUUGGGGCAAUGAAAAUCGGAUUUAAUUUGUAUGUAUAGAUAGUAUAAAACUUGUUUACACAUGUAUCAAAUCAAAUUACGCCAUUAAAAUAUUUAUGGAGAUAUUUAAACAAUUCACUUAUAAAAACGACACUUUAUUCUAAUUUGAUUGGAUGGAUAUAUAAAAAGAAAUUACACUACUUGUUCAGAAAAAAAAAAAGAAAUUACACUAUCGGUGCAUAGAAAUGACACUCAUGAAAAUUACCCUUCCUACCAAACAGUAUAUAAAGUCUCUAUAUUAUUGCCAACAACCAUAAAUUAUUGAGGAGGUAGAGGUUAGCCAUUUUAGCACGUUUGUGUUAUUGAGAUAACAAAAUUGAAAAAAGUCAAAAAUUGAGUUAUUUAAAAUGUAGUAGAUUUUGAAAGAAAGAAAAAAAGUUCCAAUGAACUCAAAUUUUUGAGUUUUUGAGAUAACCAAUUAAAAUUGUUCUUGGGACGUAAAACACGCUGAGUAUUAGGGGUGUUCAAAUCCAUACCAAUCCAAAAUAAAACCGCAAACUGAUCCAAAAAAACCGAAAACCGCAAAAAACCAAAUAUUUUUGGAUGUGUUUGGAUGUUGUUUUGGAAAAACCGCUAUGAUCGGAUCGGAUUUCGGAUUGCGUUUUCAAAACCAAACCGAACCGCAAAAGUAAAUUUUUAUACUUAUUUAUUAUUUUAUUAGUAUUAUAUAUUGCACUAAUAUAUUGCUUAUUGAUAUUUAAUCUUAUAUAUUGCAUUAAUUUAAUCUAUAUUAUUACUACUUCAUCUAUUUCAAAUAUAAUCAAUCAUUUUUAUUGUGUAAUGUUAACUUUUUAAAUAAAUUUGUGUCAUAUUUUGUAUCAAACCUAUUAUUUUAUUGUGUAUGAGUAAUAUUAAUAUUUAAAAAAAAAAUUACAUGUUACACUUUGGAUAUCCAAAAACCGAUCCAAAUUAAACCGCAUAUAUUUGGAUCGGAUCGGUUCGGAUUUUUUUAACAUAAUCAUCCAAACCGAACCGAACCGCACGUGAUUUUUAUUUUGGAUCGGUUGAUUUUUAACCUCAAAACCGAUCCAAACCGGACCGCGAACACCCCUACUGAGUAUGUAAGCUUAAUAUUGUUUUUCUUUUACAAAAAGUAAAUUUAAGGGGGUGUUUCUAUCAAGUAUAAUAUUUACAUUUAUGGGAAUACAUAGGUACGGAAUGAGUAUAUCCAUAUUUUUUAUAAGAUUGAGAAAUCAUUAUUCUUAGGUAUCUAAGGUUCUUAGGAAUGAAAUAACUUUUCUUAACUUUAAACAAUCUUACGAAAUUAUUCCCAAGGUAAAGGAUGGAAAAGUAGGUUCCCAUCAAAUUUUGUACACUUUUUUUCUAAAAGAAUAUAACUUGCAAUUCCCCUAGGAGUGUUCAAGAGUGUGCCAAACAUUUUUUUUUUUUUUUAAAUACCCAUGAAUAGAACUCCCGUCAUGAUAUCUUUAACUGUGAUUCCCUUUCUUCAAGCGAUUAAUGGUGAGGAUGGAACUUUGUUUUUAGGUUUUUUUUGCUACUAGACUAGUUGGAAAUGCAUGUAAAAUAACAACGGCAGAAAAAUAAAAGUGAUAAAAUAGGGAAAAUAGUUUGUGAUUGAUUGAUUAUGUGUUAAAUACAUUGUAUAGAGUAUGUACUUAUAGGCAAAACUAUUUCUACUGGCCACAAGAUAUUACCUACAGUGUUUAACCUUGUUCGACUAUUUUCACGAGUAAGCAUCAGCUUUCCCACGCUCGACUGUCAGCUUCCCAAUUAAUGGCAUGACAUGUUGACAAGGUCCAUAAUGUUUAGUACCUCAUUGUCCAGAUCUGCUUGAGCUUUGACUCAAUAUGAUGUCUUCAAGACAAUCGACCUACCCUUGUUUGGCUAGAAUAACACUUGCAUAGAUUUCCAUCGCUUGUCUAUUGAUUUCAGCUAACAUGACAUAUAUAAUUACUUUUAGGUGUAAACAUAUGCUUCCUUGCGUUGCAUUUUCGAUUGGCUUCCAAGUGAUUGGGAUGAUGCAACAUAAUCGAACUGAUUGCGCGUGAACAAUGCGAUCUUUUAUGAAUGGAUAUGAACUAAUAACCCUGUCAAUCCAAUAACUCCAACGGUUACCGCAGUUUUCUCAAUUGGUAUGGUGAUAUCUUCGCCUAUUUGAAAGACGAUCUUUACGUAUAAAUAACUUUUUAUAGACCUGGAUUAUUCCCCAACUUUUCACCCUUUGUCGUUCUUUUUAUGUGGCUUCCUAUCCACUAAAUAAUUCAUGACUAUUACUUUUUCUACCCUGCUGCCUUCUCGCGCGCCCUGCAAAAUUUACUAAAAUACCCCUGGUCCGGAUUACAUAAUCCGGAGCAAAUUGUUAGUGAUAUCCGAAAAACGAAAUUCGGACCAGAUGUUAUGCGUUUUUUUGUGUCUUUCUUUGAUGUCAAGGGUUUCUGUUGACCGUUAUAUGAACCCCACACAAGUUGCAAUGUUAUUCCAGGGUUCAUACGAACAGUCAAUAAUGACCAUGACACCACUAACACCCCAAAAAAACUAAAAACAUUUGAAGAAAAUGGAAGAAAAGAGGUGAAAUGAAGAAUGAAGGUAUUUGUUGAAGAUGGAAGCAUGUUUAUAGCCUAAAACAAGUCCUAGGUCAUUAGUACAGUAAAUGAAAACGUGUUAGUGGUUGUAACCGUCCAAACCCACAUUAAUGGCUCUCUUUCAAAAGAAUCCAAUGCUGAAGCUUUCAAGAUUUUACAUUCCGGAAUAACCUUAGCCCUACAGAAAGUGCCAACUUUUCCCUUGUUCACCAUUAUCGCAUUAAUCCGGAAAAUAUAUUCCGGAAAACAAAGGUGCAUUUCAGAUUUUAUUUUCUGGAAUGCAACAAUGUCAUGGCCAGUGGUCUGCACCACACAUUUUUGUCGAUGGUCAGGUAAUAAAAAACGUGUUUUAUCACGUUUUUUGACUGCAUUUAUGGUCUCCCAACCGUUUUUGCCCCUCCCUAUAAAUAACCUUCCAAACCCCACAAUUUCUCACACCAUCCUCUCUCACCCUCUCCUCCUCUUCUUCCUUCUAAAACCAUCGUUUUUCAUCGUUGGCCUUUCAUAGAUAAGGGUCUCGUUGAAAACUUUCAAGGUUUGUAUGAACGGUCAAUGUGGAUGGAACAGUGCUGCAACGAAGUGCGGUUCAUCUGAGGGUCAUGUGGGUCAGUGUGGUUCUUAGCUUGGCCUAUCUGGGCGUAAGUUUCAGCACCCCCACCUCCCUCAGGGACAUUGUUUUCUUCUUCCUGCCUUCCUCUUCCCUCCUCCUCCUCCGGUUUUCCUCCAUUAGGGAACCUACUGCUAUGUCCUAUCGCAUAGUAGUGAUUAGGAUCUUAGGAGAUUAGAAUUAGGCUCUUAGGAUAUUAGAAAUAGAUUUAGGAUCUUAUAUAAUAAGCUUAAAAAGCUUGAAAAUUAUUGUAAUGUAUAGUUCAUAUAUUAAUAAAAUGAGUUAUUUUUAUGUUUGUGUCCUUUUAUUUCUGUUUUUUAUUUUAUUUUACGAAUUGUAAAGCUUAAAAUUGCAAAAGUUAUGGUAAAAUAUUAUUCCGGAUUUUCAAAUCCGAUUUAAAAAUACAUUCCGGAAAACGAAAUUCGGACCAAGGGUAAAAUUGAAAAAAAAAAAAAAAAAGGGUGUGCAAGGAAAGAUAUAGGGUGGAAUAGGUAAAACUCACAAUUCAUUUUGGUGCGUCCUUCAACCCUCAAACCCAAUAGUCAGAGAGCUUUGCCAAUGAUUAUUCUCUAGUUUUACACCCGAUAAUUUUCUUAAUCUUGUCAUUUUCAAGAUAAAAGACCACUAAUUCAGAAAACGAGAAUGAGAAGGGAAGUGGCAAACGAACUUUGACUCGUAAAGGCAAAUUAAAGCAUGACAAUGUCUAGAUAGGGGAAACUUAAAUUCCUAACAUUUCAUGGGAAGGUAAUAAUUGUCUCAAUCGAUUUCCAGAACUAACACUUCCUUCAUUUACUAAGUAAUUUCUUAUCCUUGUUUUUAAGAGUCUUUGUGCAAUUUUAUUUAAGGAUUUUUAGAAAAUUCUAAGGAGGUGCUGAUAGUUUAGUGAAGAGUCUAUGAUGUUUAGAGAAACCAUUUUAAGUCUUGUAUUUUCCUACCUAGACAACUCUAUAAAUGUCAUAAGUCUUUUUGUUAUAGACGCUAUGAGUUGAUUUUAUCACUAUGACUAGAAAAACUCAUUGGAUUAGUAUUGAAUGAUCAACUUCAAUGAUGUUGUUUGAACUAUAUGUAAUCGAUGAUGUCCUCUAUUAAUGCAAUCUGAAAUAUGCUUAUAAGGUAUACCUUGUGCUUAAUGAUUUUCAAUGCCUGAUAAACUCUGAAUUGAUUUUAAUUUAUAGUUCACAAUCAACACUUGUUUUUGUAACACGAACUAGGUAGUGUUCUUUAAUCAAUUUAUCUAGACAUAAGGUAUUAAUUAGUAUGGUCGGUAGUUUAACUGUCAAUGAAUCUUUUGAUAAAAUUAGUUUCACCUAAGAAAUUAGGGUUCUAUUUUAGAUAAAUGGGACGUCGAGGCAAGAAAUUGGUCGUGGUCUAUUUCUUUAAACUGUUGUGAACAUAGAAAUCAAAUUGUUAUUGUCUAGGAACUAGUAUUAUCAAAGAAAAUCUUUCUAUAAUUUAAUUUGCGAAACCAAAUCUUACGAAAACUCCCCCCAAUUUAACUUUUUAAUAAGUAUUGUUUAAUUGUCAAGUAUAAACAAUAAUAUUUGUGGAGAGGGAUCUUUAUAAACACUAUUACUUGAUCUGCCAAAGAGUCCAUCAAGCUUUUGGCGCCAUUGUUAGGGAAUCGUUGAUGAUCUCAACAAGGUAGCUACGCUCUACUUACAUGAUUUGUUUUUUUUUGUAAUUUAUUAUAAAAACAUAAAAAUAUUUACUUUUGGCUCUUUAAUCUUAGUGUGUGUUGUGCUAAAUAAAUAUUCUUGAGUGUUGUUAUGCGAGGUGGAAGCUCAGGUACCUUGUUAUUUGAUUCUGAGGUUGAGAAGAUUACAAGAGAAAACCAGAAAGAUUCUUUUUCUAUCUCAGUACCCCUCAAAUAAUCUAAAAAUACUAUCAGAGGGAGAACAUAGGCAUGGUUAGAGAUGGUUUAGCAAAGGAAACUCAAGUUUGAGUUUUCCCCCCAAAAUCCUAAAAUACUCUUUUUUUCCUUAUUCUUUUUUUUCUUCCAGAAUUAAUGAACGAUGGUGUGCAAGUCCUAUAUUUCACCACUUAUAUGUCACGCAGGUUCUAUUGUAACUUCUUUCAUUUAUUACUUUCGUUGUUCUUUUGCUUGAUCUAUUCUUUUUUCCAUGUCUAUUCUCUGUUCCGAUUUGUUUUGAUUUUGUGAUCGAUAUUAUCUCUACUGUUACUUCUUUCGGUUAUUGUAUCCCUUGGUGUUUGAUUAUGUUUCACAUUGAUAAACUUAAUAGUGUUUUUACUUUUUACUUGUUGAAGAGCUUACAUUUGUGUCUAUAGAGUUCUAUUGGAAGUAAAUUGUUUAUUUUUAUGUUUUCUUAUAUUUUUGUUUGUUUUUGUAUUCAACUUGGCUAUUGUAAUCACACCUCUGUUUCCGGUAGCUGAAUUAUUAUUGUCUAAAUUUGAUCAAAGGCAACCUAGCAAUUGAAUAAUCGAGCCUUGUCGGAAAGUGUCAUUGUCACCACUCAAUGGAUGAGAAACCAACAAAAAAGCCGGAUUAUUAGAAGAAUGAAUGUGAAAGAAUUGUUACCAAUCAUGGAAGUCAUGGGAGGUACAUAAAGUUCAACAAGAUCACAAAAGAAUAGCGUGAGAAGGAGAAAAAAGUUGUGCGAGAAAUCAGAGAGAAUUGAGGAAAAACUCAGUUGAUACCAUAUUUGAACCAUAUGAGACAAUUGAUUCCUGAAAUAAAAACAUUAAGGCUGCAUUUGAUACAAGAGGACUAGAAUGUUACAAGGUACAAACAGACACAAUAAUUCUUAUUGAUGUAAAGUAAAACAUUAACAAUAAAACAAACAUACAUAAUAACAUGAUCGUAAGUAGGAAGUGAGGGAAUGGAAUUCCUUCACAUCUGUUAUUCAAAGCAGCAACACAACAACCAUGAUCCACUUUAGAUGGAGAUACUAUUAGGAAUGCCUCGGCAAGUCAAUCCUUCCUCACUAGAAGGAUAAAGUAGAGUAUAUGGCAUCUUCACUGGUCCGUACCGAUUUCUCAAUGUCUCAUCAUUGUUCCUUUGAGUGAGUUUCUGUUCAAUUUCAGCCAACUUCUUUCCAAACCUCUUGAAGGCUUCUUUUGGUUGUGAAUCUGAAGUCCAAUUGUCACCUUCAAUUCUAUCUCCAAGGUAUUGCUCAUCAGAAGCAUGCCUUGACAAGACCUCUAUAAUGGUCAAGUCAGUAAGUGUAUCAUUCUUUGGUGUGAUUGUCCUCAAAUAAGACUUCUGGUAGUCCUUAGCAAGCUCAUCAUACUCAGGUGAUCCUUUCUCAGGCAUGAAUCUUCUACUCUUUGUUGGCCGGUUAAGGAUAUAUCCUCCAUAUGGAUAUUGUCCGAAAUUAACAGCUGCAUGAAGUGCUGAAGCAAUCCAUAUAAGGAUGGUGGAAGCUUCGAUCAACUCUUCACGGGUUUGCAUCUUAAACCACCAUGUGGCAUUCUUCAGGUCACCAUGACCAACCUCUACAAGUUCCUUCCAGAAUGCUUGGAGUUCAGCAUCUUGUGCAAUGGCAGCAUCAGACUUGUAAUAGAAAUUCACAUAUUCACCAACCCAUGACUUAAUGGCAGCCCAUAUUUCUAGUCCAUCAGAAGCAUAAGGAUAAUCCUCUAUCAGAAGGCGGAGACCGGUAGGAGAGGCUGGAUCCUCAACAGCUACUCCUCUAAAUAACAAGCAAGGAAGAAAUAUUAACAUACAAAAAAUAUGUUCUAUGGAGUUAUUAUUAAUUAAAGUGAUUUUAAUGAUCAUUUUACAACUGUUUUAGAGGAGAUUUAAGCCCGUAUAACAGAAAUUAUUAGUUAGAGUUUGUUGAUAAAAAAUUGACAGACCAAAGAUGUAAGGUUACCUUUUGAUUAGAUCGUUAGGUAGUCCUUGCUCAAUGAAAUUCCAAUCCUUGUAAACAACAGCAGACAUUUCCAAAGCAUAAUUUCCCCACAAGAAGGUUGAUUCUAUAAUACCCUCUGCAUUGACCAAGACAUUUCGUGCAAGUGCAUUUAUGUUCAUUGUGUCACGGUAGUGAGGAAGUAAAAGUUUAUGAAUAGGGUGAACCACACUAAGAUGCCUGUUUGUUGCUAUGAUGAAUGGCUCAACAACAGCGUGGGUGUUCAACCUGUCACACAUGUCGAUAUUCAUGAAUUAAUCAUAGAUAGGUUAAUUAUGUUUGAUUGUGUAUACGUGAUUAAUGAGAUUCAUACCAAUGGCUGACAAGUUGAUGAUAGCAGGAGUCAUUUACAACAACAAAAGCCUUGGCAAGGAGCCAAAUUGAAGCUUCAACACCUUCACUUGCGGGCAAGUAAACAUUGCUAACAGGACCAAAACUAUCACCUUGAGGGUGUGGCCUGCUUAGUUCAAUGGCCAGUGGCUUCAAAGUUCCAUCAUCUUGCAAGAAAAGUAUGGUUCUGGUAGCAUAGGCCUUUGUCUCGGUUGCAUUUAUUUUCCUCAAAUAUGGAAAGAGUGGGUCGUGGUGAUCAAGUAUGUACAAUCUAUUGUCUUGGAUAGCCUGUAUGACAAAAUAAAAUUUAGCUACUGUGGUUUACUUGAAUAAAAAAAAUUCAAUCAUGGAGAAAAAUAUUAAUCAAACUAAGUCCAUGAGGUGUCAACCCAGUGGUUAAAGUCGACCUUAUAACCUCAAGGGAUAGAUUUCAAAUUUUCUCCCGGACGAAAUUCACGAACGCCACUUUGGAAAAAAAUAGAACUGAUCAAAUAUGUCAUUACCUGUUCUACGGUGACCCCACCCAUGUUUGGCUCCAAGUUUUCUUUGGUUAUGGUGCUGGUAUUAUCACCAAAUUUUUGGCUAUCUAGCUUGCUCUUUGGUGGAAACUCCUGUAUUAAAUUUAGCAAGCAAUAAUGUCACCAAUUACAAAAAUAACAUAAUGUUUACAAAAUAGUCUUAGUUUUAUUUUUUUAAUUUCUUAACAAAGUUAAACUAUUAGCUUUACCGAAAGUUUUUUGAUGAUGUGUGGGUUCACCCCAGCAAUCAUCUCCCUUGCAAAUUCCUCAUCAGUCUGCCAUGCAGAAUGGUCCACUGUUCAUAUUAAGAAAUUUUCAAAAGAUCCAUUAGAUUUCUUUAUAUGAUUUUGUAUAAAUAUAUUACUGCAAGGACUAGGUAUUAUGAUUAAUAUAUACCUUGAAUCACUUUUGGUGGUGGAAACUUAAGUGCUUGUUCACCAUCAGAUCGGAAAAGUUCCUUGAACAAUGGUAUUGGACUAAUCUGGCUUAGUACAUCAGUAGGAAGCUUAAUUCCACCCUCGUAGAGAGAGCGCACAUCUUGAAAGGUGUUAAACUCAGGGUUAUUGAGUUGUAAUGUAACUACAGAUCUCAGUUGAGGUAUGACAUUUUGAGAUGCUGAUUUGAGUAUGUAAACAAGAAAGUCUGAUGACUUUGUGUGUCCAAAAGAUUCAUCUCUUGGAAGGUAAACAGUGGGACUUCGAGUCUCACUCUUAGGAUCUGUUCAAAUAUAUAAUAACAAUAUAUGUUUUAGAAACAAUACCAAAAUCUUUAGAAUCAUAAGCAGGGUAAACAUUUGGAUCAACCAAAAAAACACAUGUUUAGUCCAAAAUCUGACAGAAGUGUUUGUGGCCUAACCUGUUUUAGUUUUUCUUCUGCCAGUUCUUCCCCUUCGAGGGUAAGGGAAAUCGCUUGAUCCCCCAAGAAUUUGACGCGCCAAUUGAGGUUUCGAGUCAGGCUCACCCAAAUCAUUGUAGACAUCGUAAUCAUAUAUUCUUUCCCAUUCCUUGCGCUCUCCAGUUCCAUCUCCUCUUAAAGUCUUCAAUUCUUCUUGUCUGUAGUACACUAAUGGAGCCGGUGUUUCACUUGGAAGGUAUGUCUACAUAAAUUUAAUCAUUCAAAAUAUCAAGUUUUAGGAAAUAGGCUUAAUAUUCAGCAAGCUAUAUAGUUAUUAUGAUAAAGUGGAUUUGUGAUUUGAGACAUCAGAAAGAGAUUGGGAGUUGCAAGUUCUCAACUCCCUCUACUCGCAUUUCUAAAAACUAAUUACUAAUAUUUGUCGUUAUAAUAGAAAUAACAAGCUACAUGUGUAAUAGAAUUUUUAUUCUUACCUUGUUGGCAAAGAAGAUGCGGUCGGUUUUGUACUUUUUAGAAUUGUAAAUCCAUGAGUUGCAGACAAAGUGGAUGGAUCCAUGGUUUGGAACAUCUUCAAGUGUCAAACUCACAAGGAAGAAUUCACCUUGCAUAAAAUUAUCGAUGUAAAAAGCUCCGGGAAUUCCCAUGUUACUGUCCCAUUCAAAAUGAAUACUGAAAGCAUUUUGUUUGUCUCCCAAUGUUGGUAUGGAGGUAAGAAGACCUUCCAGAAAUGUUUCCUUUCCCACUUUUCCUUUUCCAGCAGCUAUAUUAAAAAUGUCAAAUAUUAUUAGUUUCUCAAUUUCACUAAUCCAUGAUUUUCAAAGUUUAAUUUUAUUCUUUUACAGAUCCAUUUUUCUUUUUACAUGAUCAUCAUCCAUCUUGCCUGAGUUAUAUCGAAGGGAAAUAAUUUCAAUAUUUUAGUGGUAAUUGAUUGUACCUGAUCAUUUAUAACCAAUAUUCUACAUCAAAAUCUCCAUUGCACAUUUUUAAUUUAAUAAAAAAAACAAAAGGGAAAAUAAGGUAAAUCUUAAUGGAUUGAUGUAUCAAAAACUCUUCUUGAAUAAUAGGCUGGCUUGGUGGUGUGGUGGAAGAGUUAUGGAGUAAUUAAUGCAGUCUGAGUUCAAUUCUUACAUCUAGCAAAAACUAACAACCGACAUAAUACUCAUUCGAUAUUAUUUAUAAGAAAUAAUGAAUUUUUUGAUUUAUUGAAUAAUUAAUGUAUAUGAUAUAUAUUCUAGAUCGAAUACAUAAAUUAUUCAAUGAAUCUAAAAAAUUAAUUAUUUCUUAUAAAUAGGAUUGGAUGAAGUAAUAUUUAUUGCUUAAAAAAAUAAAACUCCUCAAUAUUUUGUUGUUAAAUCAGAGAUAUCCUCCACGUGCAAAUGUCUGUCACUUAUGUUAUGUCACACAAUGUUGGUAAAAGAGUCUAAGUAAAGAGAUCAUAGAAGUAUGAAAAGAAGCAAUUUUAAAUAGAAAAAGAUAGUAGAAUUUACAAUUUUAAAAAUCUAAUAAGACAGAAGUUCAAAUAUAAAGUAUAUAGAUGGGGAUGUCAAAUUUUAAAUAGCUUAUGGUACAAGAUUAAUUUAAAAAAUUUAAGUGAGCAUGUGCACCCAUCACGUAGAUCCAUACAUACCAAAUGACAAAGAUAAAGUCCAAAACAGUUGCCAAACGCCAAAUAUCACACUUAUUUGCAUUAUAUAUACUUCUUUUUUUACAAAACCAUUAGAUAUACUCCCUUUAAUAUACAUUGGAUAUAAGUUUUUAUAUAGUCAUUUUUUAUUCCAAUAGUACUAUUUUUUCCAUAUCAUUUUAUUACUUAAUCAAAUGUCCAAAUUAUUUUAAAUAGUUACUUAAAUAAUUUCAUAAUUUCUUUAUUUUAAUUAAGAAGAGACAACGAUGAAAUUUUUGUCUGUCAAGUAAGGAUAUAGUUUUGCAGUUAAUAAAAGAAUAUAAACACAAUUUUUUUCUUUUCAUAAAUUUCAUCAAAGAAGGUAAUCAAUCUUAUUCAGAAUCCGUCGAUCAGACACUAAAUGUGAUACCUCUCUCAAUCAAGAUUCUAAAAUCAUUCUCGUCCGUUAGAUCCAAUUACUUCCAUUGGUGUACACAUAAUUUAAAUAAGUUAUAUCAAUCAAUUAAUUAAAAUGCCUAUUUCUUGUAUGAAUUAAACAUAGUGAGAAAGGUCCUCGUGAACUAGCUCAAUUGAUAGAGACAUAUAAUAUAAUAUAUGCAGGGGUUGAAGUCCGAACCCUAAACAUCCGACUUCUCCAUAUUUAAAAUGUGUGAGCUCCCGUCACUGGGUUAAUUGACAAAAAGAAAAAUAGAGUGAGAAAGAGAAAUGAGUUAUUACCAUCAGCACUUGUAGCACUAAUCAACCUGAGAGCUAUAGAACGUCCCAAGAAGGAAGUGGCAGUAUCAAGUAUAUUGCCAGCAACAUCACCAACAAUACCAAAGGCACCACCAAUGAUACCAGUAGGGCUUUUAGCAGCAGUGAGGGCGUUGAUAUCCAAAGUAUUCUUUUGCAUCAACACCACAGUUCCCUUCAACUUUUGGCCUCUAUCAAAGAGACCUGUUACACCAGAAAACAUCUUUGAAUAUGCUUUAAAUGUAUUACACUAUAUAUGGUAAAUGAAAGAAAGGCUUGUGUCUUGUAACCAUAGGGGUGGUUAGUAUUUAUAGUAGUUGAUGAGAUUAGGAUCACAAUGUUAUAGUUCAAAUGAGGUGAUAUUUUUAUUCAACUACUCAUUUACAACAUGGUGGAAUGCAAUUGGUCACGUCUUAUGCUAAUUUUUUAUUAUGAGUGAUUAUCUCGUGGUAUAUAAAAUAAUAAUAUAUCCGAUUGCAAAAUUAUUUUGGUAGUUGUUAUAUGUGCCAGCCUUGGCAUUAUGUUCAAUAAUAAUGACUCUGUUUGCUCUAUUGUUAAUUAUUACUACUAUCUUACGUGUCUGCAUUGGUUUUCUCGAGUUUUCUCAUAUUUUUUAAAGUGGGAAAAUCUCUACCCUUAAAAUUCAUUUCUUUCUUAUUUUAAUUUCAAAAUCUCUCCUCUUUUUUUUUUUUUUUUUUUUUUCUUUUUCUUUUUCUUUCUCUCAUACUAUCAAAUCAAGAUUAGGAUUGGACUUGAGAUACAUUUGCUUAGUCACAAACAUAAAAAUGAGUCAUUUAACACACACAAUGUAAUAAAAAAAAUUGAUUUGGUGUUGUGGUCUAAUUUAACACUUACUAUAUAAGUAUUUCUCCAUCCAAAGAUGGAUCCAAAAAUCUAUUAGCAAUUUUAGUUCACGGCCUAAUUUAUUCUCUUGUUUGGGAGUCUUUUGUAACAAUUUUUGUUUUUUUAUUUUGGGUUGACGGCAAGACCUUUGUCUUUUGAUGUAACUAUACUCUUUUUCCUUGUUCUUUUGGCACUUUCUGUGCUGGAAUAGCAGAUAUUUUUCAAAUAUAAGCAAUCAACGUUUGUUCUAGGGCGCUCUAUAUAUGGAUAAUGUUAUCAGCCACGUUUUUGACAUUUGCAUCAAUUUUUUUCUUUAUAAAUGAUGAAUAAGACAUGUAUUACUAAUGAUGGUUGAUAUUCCAGCUAUCAUGGAAUCCAAGUCGCCAUAGUACAAUGUUUUUAAAAUCCCAGCUAUGUUGGCAACCCAAAACAUCGUGUGUCAAAUGCGCCACAUCUUAUAUAUUAUUAAUAAUAAAAAAUACAAAAACGAAAAAAGUUGAGUUAAACUCAACAAAGCUAAUUAAAAUGAUAGGUAUGCAUACCAAACCUAUCUAAAAAAACCACUGAUAAUAAAACUAGGACAUAUAUACCACCAUUGAAAAUCUCCAAUUAGUUUACAAAUAUCAACGAAAAAACUUCUCCUUUUCCUCUUGUGACAUAGAUGAUCUCCAGUAGGUUUCUGCGUUUUUCCUCUUCAGUUUCGUGUUUUGCUGCUUGCGUUGGGGGUGUGAAAAUUAAACACUGAUGACUUGUGAAAAAAAGAAGCAUAAAGGGCUGCUGGACUAAAGUCUGAUAAUUGUUGGUCCCUCUAUUAUUUUUGUUAUAUACACCCCUCUAUAAACGAUUAUUGUUAUAUACACCCUCGUAUAAAAAAAUUAGGUCCCUAAAGGCAUGGGCCCUAGGCUGCCGCACCCCAUCCUAUAUCUAUGGCUGGCCCUGAAUGUUAUCGUUGUAAUAGAAGUGGUUUAAUAUAUAAAAUGAAAGACAUAAGGUAAAUAGGGUAAUGUUGCAUUAAAAAUGGAUGUUGGUAAGGCAUGUGGCAUUGAUAGGUCAUUUGAAAGAAAUUUUGAUGAAGAUGAGGUUAUGUCAGUAGUGAAUGAACUAGAUAAUGAUGUGUAUUAAAAUGGUGGAUUAUUCCAUUAUUGUUAACAAUGAAAUCACAUGACCAAUCAUACUCGGACGAGGCCUUCAUCGGAGAGAUUCUUUGUCUCAUUGUUUAUUCUGUGUGCAGAAGGCCUAUGUGCUCUUAUUAAGUAUGUCGAGGCUAGUGGAGAGCUUCAUGGGGUCAAAAUUUGUCGAAACACUUUGAUUAUUACUCGAAUUUUAUUUGCAGAUGACUACUUUCUAUUUUUCAGGGAAGGUGAAGCGCCGAGACUCAAAAUAUGAAGCAAAUUUUGAGGUUGUACAGAGCAACGUCUGGAUAUUACAGCUUAAAUGCCCAACAAUCCCUUCAAAAUGCUUUUACAACAACCUUAGGGGGGUCAGGCGGUGUUAUGCACAAUGAAGUACAUCGGACUACCCUCUAUGAUUGGUAGAAGAAGGAAUGUUACGUUCAGCUUUCUCAAAGAUAUGACUGGAGCAACAAGUAUUUGUGAAAGGAAGAUAUAAUGAUAAAAACAUGUACUGCAAGCAAUACCAUCUUAUGGAAUUAGAAUUUUCUUACUUUCUACCAUGUUCUUUGAUGCCAACGAAAAGAUUAUUAACACGUACGUACUGGUGGGGUCAUGGUGGUUCCACAAUUAGAGGUAUUGACUGGUUAUCAAGGGACAUGCUUGUUGUCUACAAAUUUUUUGGAGGUUUGGGGUUUAAAUACUUGACGUCAUUCAACUAAGCAAUGUUAGGAAAACAAGAUCGGAAAUUCCACACACACUUGGACUGUUUGGUAUCAAGACUGUUCAAGGCGCUCUAUUUUCCUCAUGGAAGCUAUCUAGACCGAAAGUGAUGACAGAGCACUAUAUGACAUUUUGGGCUAUGUUUUUAGUACUUUUAUUUGCAUUUGAAGACAUAUAAGUUGAGAGAUAGAGGAGUUGUUAAUGGUUUGGGAAACAUAUUGUAUUGUUUUCAAUCGAGCCGUUGUUCUUGAUGCUUGACAGUUUAAGGAACCUCUAGGGUAUGUUUUUUAAACAUCGUUGUUCCUUGAUUGAGGAACCUCUAGAUAUUUCAUGAAGUGUAAUUCCUUUAGAUGACAAUUUAAGAGUCACACGGGAUGUUGCAGUCAAAAGAUGUGAUCAUGGCUUUCAUAAUUGAGUUAUGGAUAAAACGACAUCUGUAGGAAUAUUCUCUCUAUAGUAAACCACCGUUUAUGUAAUUUUUAGGUUUUAAUUAAUAGGUACUUUGCAUUAAUCCAACAAAGAGGGAAGAGGGAAGAGGGGAUUCAAGGAUUCCCUAAUCACCGUUAUACAUCUAAAUCACACAAACAUAAUCUUUCUUUGGAUAGGGAAAUUUAACCAUGCAAAUCUUUUUUUCAUCUCUUUUCUAUUUUCUUUCUAAUAAGUUUUGCUAAUUACCGAAAAACUUGCUACUUUAUUAAUUGUUAUGAUUUGGUGCACUUGCCAAUUUCGUCCUUCAGAAAGCUUGGACAUAAAUCAAAGCUUUAGUUGGAGAAGAAUAUUUACCGCUAAGAGAGUAGUACAAAAAGUUGCUCGGUGGAAGAUCAGAUCGGGUACAAAGUUUCAAUUUUUUAUGCUUUGUGGGUAAAAGAUGGGACAAGUAUUCUAGGAGAUGGUCAACCUCUCAAGGUAAUUCAACAGGCUAAAGUGCACAAUCUCGUUGAUCAAGAAUUUCCCGUAUAGAACAAUCAUAUUGUAAACCAGUGUUUUGAUCAACUUAUAAAUGAGCUCAUUCUGAGUACUCCUUUAAUUGAGUCUGUUAAAGAAAGAUAAAUUAAUUUUUAAAUCAAAGAAAAAUGAACAUUACUCGGUAAAAAUUGUGUACAAGAUUUAUACAUAAAAUAGUGCAGGCAACUCAUAUUUAUGUCAGUAAGGUCAUUGGCUGGAAUUUAGAAGUUAAAGGUGCAUCCCAAAGUGAAGGAUUUCAUUUGGCUGAUUUAUCAAGGUUGCUUACCGACGCGUGUAAGGCUGAAAGAUCGAAGUCUCCAUUGUCUGUCUAUUUGUAUGAUGUGCACCGGUAACUAUGGGGAUGCAAUGCAUAUAUUGUUUGAUUCUCCGUAAAUAGGAUAUGUAUAUAUUUUUCUCAAGUGCAUUAAUUUUAUCAUUCAUAGCUCCAGCCCAGUUUAUAUUUUUAAAUGUUUCUUCAAUAGAUGAUUUGAUUCUCACAUAAUCAACGGCAACAAUAAAACUUUGAUUGUGUGGAAAGUUGUUUAGUGGAGACAUAUUGAGAAAUAUGUAUGAUAUCUAUAUAUAGAGGGACAGAUCGAUAACAUUUGCAAUCAUCUACAACAGGCCAUGUUACCCAAGAACAAUCAUCAAUAAAAGAAACAAACCACCUUGCCCCAUAAAUAUUAGAAACAACAAGAAAUAUUAGAAACAGGGGCCGAUCGGCAGACAUCAAAAUGAAUAAGAUCAAAUGGUUCAACACUUUUACGAAGAUUCAACGAAAAAAGUGGUAUGUGUACGCUUAUAAAAUGGAUAUAUAUAUCACAUUUAAAAGACUAAAUCGAUUGCAUUAAAAAACAAAGAUGGAAACAUAAACUUCAUUAGUUGAAAAUGAGGAUGACAAAGACGUUUGUGCUGAAGCCAAAUUUGAGAGGCAGAAUAAGACUCUGACUAAGACUGAAGUGCAGAAGACAACACCUUCUGAUCAAUUCGUGCAUCAUACAAAUAAUAUAGCCCUCCUUGUUCCUAAGCAACUCCAAUCGUCUUUCCCAUUACAAGAUCCUCGAAAGCACAAUGUGAAUCAAAAAAUAUUACUGCACAAAUAUUAUCCUUUAUAAGCUUACGAACAUAGAUAAGGUUAUUCCAAAGACAAGGAACAUGAAGCAUAUCUUUCAACUUAAAAGGUUCAAGGUUAAUUUCUCCACAACCAUCUACACGAGUAUGAGAACCAUAUGCAGCCGCAAAAAAGAAUGUCAUAUGAAGAAAUUUACUUCAAAAAGGCCAAGAACCAAUGUCAUAUGAUCAAUAGCACUAUAGUCAAUAAUAUAAUCAACAUUUCAAGCAAAAACCACAUAUAACUAUUUUCAGUCACAUUGGCUGAUAACUACAAAAGAAUCUCCUCAAAAGAACAACAAAAAGAAGAGGCUUCAAAUAACAAAAAAUAGGCAACAAGGUAAAAACCGUAAGUCGCAACAACGUAAAAUCACCAAAUAAAAGUCAAACUGAAUCACAAAGGGUCCUCAAAGAUGCUGGUAGUCACAAACAAGCACAAAACAACCGCUAUCAAUCAGUUAGUGUCAAGAGUACCCACGUAAAAUAGUAUCUUGGUCUUGGAUCAAGAUUUUGACCCCUUAAACGAACCAAUUAUGUGAAGACUAUAAUUUCUAGGAAUAAAUGGUGUCGAAUGGUGGUUCACAAGGUGGCAUGUGCAUCGCACUUGAUGGAGCUUCACUUUAGAUUGGGCCUCUGCUCUCAACUUCUCAAGUUCUUCUUCAAAAAGUAUUUGAGAACAAAUUUUUAUAGCCCUUUCGUUUAAAAAAUCUUUUUAGUUUUGCCAUAUUAGUUGAUGUAUGAUUCUUUAACUGUAUUUACAUUGGAAAAACAAUUGGCAGUGGAAAUAAAAUCAUUAUGAUCUAUUAUUGCUUUUUCAAUGUUAUCAUUUUUUUGUCAUGCUAUAUUGCAUAUUUGCAUUGAGAGCUUUUUUGUCAUGAAAUAAAAUAUGAAGUUUGCAUUUUAUAUACAAAGUAAAUCACACAACAAAAUAGAAACAUAGUAACUUUUAUUGAUGAAAUACAUUAUAACAAUCAAACAUGAUAGUUUUUAUUGAUAAAACACAUUACAGAAUUAAAAACAAACGUACAUAAUAACAUAACAUGACGAUAUACAUAGGGGGCGAGGGAAUUGGAUUCCUCCUCCUCUUUUAUUAAUAGCGACAACGCAACAACCACGACGUUUUUUAGAUAGAGACACUGUUGGGAAUGCCUCUGCAAGUCAAUCCUUCCUCACUAGAAGGAUAAAGCAGAGUGUAAGGCAUCUUCACUGGUCCGUUACGAUUCCUCAGUGUCUCAUCAUUGUUCCUUUGAAUGAGUUUUUGCUCAAUUUCAGCCAACUUCUUUCCAAACCUCUUAAAGGACUCUUUUGGCUGUGAAUCAGAAGUCCAGAGAUCACCUUCAAUUCUCUCUCCAAGGUAUUGCUCAUCAGAAGCAUGCCUUGACAAGACUUCUAUAAUGGUCAAGUCAGUAAGAGUAUCAUUCUUGGGUGUUAUUGUCCUCAGAUAAGACUUCUGGUAGUCCUUAGCAAGCUCAUCAUACUCAGGGGAUCCCUGCUCAGGCAUGAAUCUUCUACUUUUAGUUGGUCGGUUAACGAUAUAUCCUCCAUACGGAUAUUGUCCAAAAUUAACUGCUGCAUGAAGUGCUGAAGC